rnacentral:lncRNA from 1 species
AAAAAUAAGUGUUUCGCAUUAGUGUUUGCACUCUAAGCAUGGCAAAGUGGUGCGGGGUUCAUGAUUUUGAAGACUGUGAUAAGUGAAAAAUAGUUCAAUCCACUGAUGAACAUAAAUUUAUUUACAUGUCAAUUUAGAUAUCAUCAAAAAGUAAACAGUAAUUCAGAGUCACUUAAAAUAGUUGAUAAAAUGCGUGCCAUGAAUGUAUUUUUGUACAUAAGAAAUCCAAAGAGUAUUUCUGACAAUACAAAUAUGCUAGCUUUAAGUCUGCUGUCAAUAUGCAAUUAAGAAGAUUAUACCAGCUGCAUGAUAAAGUUCCCCUAAUCUUAAUAACAGUAAACAUGAACAUGUCAGAUGCAAUUAUAGCUUUGAGCAUUUGCAUAACCAGAAAUCCUAACCUGAACAAGCACCAGAAGUGUCUCUCGGACUUUCUCCUUGCUGAUAAAUGGUCCGCUGUCUGAAGUAAGAGCAGGAGUAAGAGAUGGUGGAGGGGUUGGUGGUGGAAAAGGUUGAAGCACUGGGGCACCAUAUGGGCGUUGCAGACUCGGGGGAGGAUUAAGUGGCGGAGCUGUUGGUGUAGAUGAAGAGACAAGCUGCAUCAUCCGUGCAUAGGAGGAUGGAGGAGGAACAAAGAAUAAGGAAGGCUUUACAAGAUUAGGGGUAGGUGCUGAUAGAGGUGGAGAUGGUAUUUGCAAAGUUGGCACGAUAGGAGAAGCAACACUGGCGGGAUGAGAAGGUAAAGAAAUAGUUGUAUUGGACUGGUAAGGUUGUGCAGAGAUUGCUGCAUUAGAAUUAUUCCCCACAGUCAAAGCUGUCUGCAAUGAUAAGGACAGAUGUCAUAUAAAAGGACAUCAUAGAAGUUGAACCUCACACAAAAAUGAAGUGAUAACAUAUGAAAAUAGUAUAUGACUUGCUGCAUUUUUGUGGUAAUGUUGCAUACUUAUGUAGAAACAUAUUAUUUCAAAGAAAACAUACACUGAAGAAGUUCACAAAAGCAGGAUCUUCAGGAACAUCAACAGCAUUUGAGGGAGUUGACUCUAGAGGACCAUCCAUAACUGCCAUAGUUGGAACAGCUUCCAGUUCCUCAAACUCACUGCAGUUUAACAUAAAAGGAACUUGAUGACCAAUUUAAGUAAUAAUUAGAUGAUAUAAGAGGUUAGGGAAAAUGAUGAGUGGACCCUUAUGGAAGAUGAUUUCACCUUAGCUAAACACGAAAAUAAAAUGAAAUCAAAGCUGAAUCCUCGAGUGCAAUGCAAAUAAUUUUUUCUCUCUCUUCUCUAACUCCUCUUAUUCGAAAUUGCUCAUCAUUGUGCAGUUCCUCGAGAUUUUGCUAGAGUAGAGAAAGCUAUUCUCCCGUUAAGUGCAGAGGAAAAAGAAGGGCAAGGGCCUGGUAUGAUGCUAUUCUAUAGGAAGUGAGAAGGUGAAGGGCUAAAAUAUUUUGCAAUUUGGAGGUGGUGUUUGUUAGUGUGUGUACUUCUGAAUUUAUUACCUCUUUAGGAUCCAUAGAAAUUGCCUCUUGUUCAGCAUGCACUGUGCCUACGAGUAAGGCGAGCUUGCAUGGUAUCUAUUGUCUAUUUACUUGGAUAUUCAAACAGGACUACCAGCAACCAAACACAAAUCCCCAAACAAAACACUCUUUCAAGUGCAAGGAAAGAGUAACUUGGGCAUAUUUAUGGUUCAAGCACUACAAUAACUAAGAAUGUGAUGACUGUCCACAAACACUAUAUCAGUGCCUUUUGAACUACAUCACAUGCUUGAAGACUUUUUUUUUAGUCAUACAUAAAUUAGCUAUAAAAUCAAGACCCUUAUACAACUAAAAAGAAAGAAAAAUUGUUUGCUACUACAUAUCAAAACUGGUAAUAGCAAUGUAAGAUGGCAGACUUCUUACUUAAACAGAUGAGAGGCUACAAAUAAAAAAUUUGUGCAAAUAAAAUAUAUGAUAAAGAGCAUAAUACUUUCUUGGGGGCUAAAAAUAAUAUACAACUUGUGAAAUAUAAAUUGAGCUACCAUUACCUUUUAGAUGUGGCAACUUUCGACUUUUGAGGCACCUUGGAAUAUGCAUUCAGAAUCCUGCAUUUGGAAGCCAAAUAAAUAAUGUUAAUAACAAUUUUACAAUAGAAAAAUUAAAAAUUGAUAAAUGGCAGUUGUAAUUUAUGUAUGGUAAAGAUAGCAUCACAUCCAGGUUCCUCCCAUAAACAUGCUUGUAACAAGAAUUAGUUUGCCUCAACUGCUAGCAACUAUACAAUAGUAAAAAUCACUCUUAUGAACUCAACAAUACUAGGCACCAAUAAGAGUAUGACACAGCCAUUCUAAAUGGAAGAGAAUACAACUGUUUUACAACUAUGUUGCAUCAGGAGAUAUGUUAGGAGGAUUAAUCCAGAUACCUUCCAACCCAAAUUAGGAAAACUCGAGUCAGAAACCAGGAGCUGCAACCAAACCUUACAAUCUUGAAGGAAGAAGGAGACUUGGGGCAUUUUUCCAGAUAGGUGACUUACAAGAUCUCCUGCCAAGAAAAUAUCUAUUGCUUUGAACCUCCAUUGAAAUUUCUUUUCCCUUUUUCUUGUUUUGACUUGGAACUUUCCAGCAUCAUCUAUUUGAUCUUUUUUAAAGCUAAAAUAGCAAUCUAUGCGUUGUCAACAUCUUAUCCCCCGCCCCCCCGGGGGGGCCACCAAAAAAAAAAAAAAAACCAAUGAGUUGUCAAUAAAUAGCGCCUACUCAACUUAUGUUCUCCAAUGAUGACAAUGUGCAAAUUGACCUAGCAGCCACAUUUUUCCCCCCUUUCAACCACCAUUAGGCAACUUUUCUAACCUUUCUUCAUUGCCCACGUCUACAGAACUAUCAUAUAAAGACUACAUUAUUAUUGGGACAGAGAAAAAAAUACAGACUAUAUUAUUAUUAUAUCUCAUUUUAUUAAUUAACUAGUGCAAGACUUAUUUAGUGUCAAAUCAAGAACUAAUUAGAAAAGACAACUCAUGAUAAUACAGACUUUAAAAAGCAAUAGCUAGCAACACCCCAUAUACUCCUAUUUUAGCCUUCAAUAUCCUGGUAAAAACACAAUUAAGUCUAGCAAAAGAACAUUCACAAGUAAAUUCAACAUUAAUUAAGAUUAAGUAUCUACUGCACCUUCAAUCAAUGACUCGGUGAAUAGCAUGGUCAACCAUCUAGUUCCUGUAGCCCUCCUUGUACCUAUGUUAGUUACAUUUUACAUAUUAAGCCACGAAAAUGAAGGAUCACAGCCUGGUAAAGAAAGCCAUUAAUUAAUAGUUUUUGUUUAAAAAGUUCUCGUUUAGAUCUUUCCUAUUCAAUGAAUCAAUGUAAUCCAAGGAGAACUCUUCCAUUUCAAGCAGUGUUAGAAGAUAAUUGGAAAGCCUAAAGAUAAUAUACAAGGACCAAGAUAUCGAUUAGGUCAAAUAGUGAAUGUCAAAUAUAAAAAAUAAAUAAAAGAAGUUGUACAUGAUCAUUUACUAUCAAGUUCUGUAAAACUGAAAAUACCAUUAUCCCUGUAGAGAUUCUCAAACAACUCUUUAGCAAAUUAUAAAAUAGUUAAAAAAAGAUCGAAAGUUUAAAAAAAAAAAAAUGUACAACAGCCAUAUCAGGAGAAGUUUUUCUUCUCAAUCUCAAUAUUUUCUAGCCGUAAAACAAUUGAAAAGCUUAACACCAAGUGAAUUAUUAAGAAUUCAUCAUUUAAAUUCCCAAAUCGUAAAAUGUUGGUGCAACUACGAAAGUGCAAAUGCAAUCACUUUACUUACACAAGAAACAUCAAUAGUGAGAAGCCAACUUUGUAUCAAAUUUGAAGCAGAUAGAUAGAGGUCAAAAAAAUUAUAAAGACACUCAAUUAAAAGCCUUUCAAACAGCUUUUGCAUGCAACAAGAACAAAUCAAAGGCGAUGUGAAUGUAUUCAAAGACUAAUUUACAAUCAUCUACAGGACAUAAAUAUCUUGGAUAACUACUCUCUAUACCUUACUGUCCCACUGAAAAUCAUCAAAUCCCUCCAAACAAAAAUGACAAAAUGGAUAAGAAUUGUGUGGUCAAACAUCAAUAACUUAGCAGCCACAGCAAAAACUUAUGUAGACACGCAAGCCACUCAAAAUAGUCAUAUUGUUUGCUUUCCAAACACAAGCCACUUUGUAAUGAAUAUUCAUAAAUUGCUACUACCAUGUUUGUUAAAACACGUGAAAACCGCCAUCACUAACUAAAUGUAACUGAUGAUCAUCAUCACGUUCAUGGAAUCACAUGUCUGACAGUAUUAAUUAGUGCAAAUGGCAUGCUUCUUAAAACUCCUUAUUUAUCACACGGGCGCCAUUCCAAUCAACCAAUGAUUCUGAUCUAGUCGGCAUAUUCAACCCACGAGCGAGUAAUAGCUCCUAUUGCUUCUUUACAUUUCUCAACGAAAUUCCACAUUCUAACCAUACUUCUGAACUUGUUGCUCCCAUAGACUAAUACAAUAUAAAGAUUUCUUCCCACACCGCCUCAGCCCCCACUCCUAAAAAACCAAUUUAAAUUCUCAUUGACUGUACAACCUAUAGUCCAUACCAAAUUGAAAAAUUUACAAAUAUAGAACCUCAAAGAAUCUUCUUGCAUUCCAUUUUUUACGUCAAGAAAUUUGACUUUUACCACAUGCAAGUCAACAAAUAAAAAAAUCAUGUCUUUGUGAGAUGCACAUUUUCAGACGAAUCUGAAGAGCAAUGAAACCGUAAAAACCGAAUAUGAGAACACCGAGGACUCCAGAUAUCACCUAUAGAAUCUUCGGUCCACACUUGCAUGAUGAAAAUGAUGAAAAAAAAUUGAAGGCUUCGUCACCAACUCCCCAGGUUGUUUUGUUCUCCUAUCUCCUAAAUGUAAAGGAAAGGCAACCCGUUCUUUUUCCAAUCUUAAGGGGCACAGAACGACUCUGGUAUAAAAUAGUCAGUUUCUAUACAAAAAUAACUCCUUUGCACUUGGCACUGCACAUCUCAAAAUAAAAAGCAUGCAAGGAGGAGAAUAUAAUAGCAUUAAACAAGUUUUAUUAACCAAACUUCAAAGAUGCCACACAAGGCAAAAAAGAAAUCUGUACAAGCCAGAUCCCAAGAAUAAUAAUUCCAAUAUACAAUUCAGGAAAACAAUAACUAAAACCAGGUUCAUGAGGCCUCAGCAGAAGCAACAUGUAAUAGCCAUACUCUAUUAUUUGAAACACAUUUCCAAGUUUGGUUAAGAUUCUAAACUAUUCUCUAUGUGUCAAUUAUUAACAUGUAAAACAUAAUAAUAUACACUUAUACUACUACAGUAGUAAAACCAGUAAAACAACAAUACCUGCUGAAAAGAUUUGCUACCUCUUCACAUUCACGAGCAUUGUAGAAUCAAAUCCCAUUUACUUCUUGGGAUGCAUUCCGAUAUAACAAAUACGGAACCUGAACUUCAAACUCAAAAUCUCCCAAAAGAUUUUCCACUAAAUUAUCUGCACAUAUCCAAGAUAUUGAAGCUUAUCAGUGCAAAAACAUAUGCAAAAAGACAUGAAGGUUAGAAGACAUAACUAAAACUUAGCAACAACUGAUAAGCACAACAAGACAUGAAAUAUAACACUAGUUGUAAAUACUCUAAAACUUACCAACCCCCUCUCCUGAUUGUCAUAAAACGGCCAAUAUUUAACCCUAGACAACAAAAUUGCAAAUACUCUAGCCUCUAUAUUAUUGGCAUAUAAAUAUUUUCGGUUAGGUACAUUAUAUUCUUCGUUCUAAAACCUCAAUUAUUAGCUAGUACUGUGAUAAAAUGAUUCAUCACUGAAAUUAAAACUAGUUCACGUACAAAUAAUCAAAACUGAAAUAGAAGCAACGAUAAACCAACCUGUAUUACGUCGAUUCAUCACAACAAACUGAAAUCGAGGCUGUGUGUUCCUGAAAAUUGAAAAAAUAAUAAUUUCACCAACUUCAUAUGUAAUACAAUCUCCAAAACACCGAAUAUCAAAUGAAAAAAUGGAAAGCAUAAGAGAUAAAAGAAUCUAAUUUUAUUGACCUUUUGACGACGAAGAGAGAUCCUUCAACAUCCUUACGACUCCAUUGGCUGAGAUCGAUGUUGAACUCGUAGAAGGUGACAUGAGCGGCCGUGAUGAGGAUCUCCUCAAUGAAUGGAUCGAUUCGCUGAAGAACUGUCAGGCUUAGGAGUUUUGUGCUCUGCUGGUCCAGAUUAGGCAUCAAUUUUCCGUUCUGCGACAUUUUUCAUAGUCCUUUUGGGCUUCUGCCCCGAGCACAAGCCCCAUGGUUUUUCUGUGAGCUCUCUCUCUUUUGUAAAUAAAGUGUUUGAUGAGAUAGCCGAGAGAGAGUGAAGAGUUGAACAGCUAAACAAGGUGAGGUGAACAGUUUCGGACUGAGACUCGAGAUUGAUCUUGCUUUAACGUCUUUUAAACAUUUGGGAAAUAGCAUUUAUUUCUUUCAAUUUCUCUACUGUUUUUUUCCUUUAUGUCAUUUAGACCCCAAAAUUAGAUUUAUUAUAAUCAUAUUGUACCCAUACACUAUUAACCCCUUUUAUUUUUUAUAUUGUCAAUAUUAAUGUAUUAGAAUAAUGUUAGAAAUCUCAAUUAUUAUCUCAAUGUUUCAAUCAUAACUAAUGUGAUAAUUCAUCGGUAACUGCAACAUUAACUUAAUUAUUAAUGUUUAUCAUGAAAUGAUGAGAUUAUUAUUCAAGAAAGAAUUAGUAAACAUCAAUGACUAAAAUAAUGUGACAAUUAUAGCUGAAUAUUAGUACAAUAAUUAGAAUUCCUAAAGUUAGUGAAUGUAUUAUAAUAUAUGUGUGUUACACCACUUUAUGUCUCUCAAAUUCAAUUAAGUAAUUUCAGAAACCUGACCUUUUAUUAUAUUAAUUAGGAAUGCAUACAUGAACGAAAGAUGUGCAAAUUUUGUUCUAUUUUUCACUAUUAUUUACCUUUCAUCUACAUACGUCACUUGAUUUUUUGUGAUUAAUAUGCUUAAAUGGAUCUCUUUGAUAUAAAUAAAAUAAACAAAAAGUCUAAGAGAAAAAAAAAAUGAGGACCGAAAUUAUUACACCUACAACAAAUUUGCCCAGAGAGCAAUAAAUCAAACUUGCUUAGGAAGUACAAUGAUUAGUUAAUAACUAUCAUGUUAAAGCUUCUGUCAAGCAAACACCCAUUGAAUUUUUCGCUCGCUUCAAUGACUUACUUAUGCCCAAUAUAUUACUUUGCACAGUAGUAUUUGGGAUCCUAACAAUCAACUCUUAAUUUGGUCCCAAUAUAUUACUUUAUGAAUGCUUGUGUUGUUUUUUUUAUAUAAAAUAAUUUAUUUAAGUAAUCAUAGAAAUAAGGGAGAAAAGGGGGCAUUUGUUGACUCAAAGUCAAUUACAAAUAUUCCAUGCCUAACUUCCACGCACCCUAAAACGGUUUUAUUUGCUUUCACGCGUUCAUGAAUUUCCAUGAAAGAGAGUGCCUCUCGUCUCUUUCCGGACAGUGCCGACAAUUAUGUUAACGUGACAAAUACAUAACGUUAUUACAUACAAUAAUAAGUUUUUGGACCCGAGACUUGAGGGAGGUUCUAUCUAAUUCUAAAGAUUGUAACCAAAUCAUUAUCCCCAAUUUUUUUCAGUUAAAUAAAAUAAAAUUUAUGCUUACGUAUAAAUAAUACUUUGGACAUUCUUGAUAUUUGUCCUUUUAAGAUAAACACCAACCCAAUUAUCUAUUUGUUUGUCUGUUUUUUUUUUUCAAUAACAGUUUGUUAGCAUAAAUAUUUACCUGUGAAAUCGAGGAGGAGAAAAUGUUAGAAAAAAUAAAAAGAAAAAAAAUUAAGGGAGAUAGAAUCAGAUUUUCUUUUUUGAGCAAAGAACAUACAUAAAAAGAUAUUAAAUCUAUUAAGUCUACUUGUCUAUAACGGUAAAUUGCAUAACGAAUAAUUUAUCAGAACAAAAUAAAUUUUAUUAGAUUAUGAGUGUUCUGAUUAUUUUUUAGAGUACCAAUUGUCCCAUGGCACAACAAAAUGCCAGAAAAUAUAAUGUAAAAUUGCUGGUUUGUUGCUUAAAAUUUUCAAUAAUAAUUUCACCUUUUUAGUAAUUAGAGAGAGAUGGAGAGGAUUGACGGCCAAUGUUUAGCGAUUUGGGGUCAAUUCAAAGUCAACUAACGUGUAAAACACGUGUAAGCAUAGAAAACGCUUAGAUUAUUUGUGUUUCAAGUGCAAGAAAAGUAAGAAAAGAAAAAAUGAUUUCCUUUCAUGAACUUCCAAGAAAGAAAGAAGACCCUUCACCUUCUUCGCGACAACAAAUGAUGUUGAUAUGACAAAUACAAGCGCUAUUACAGGGAACAUCAUAAGACCGAGACUUGAUAAAGGGUUUGUUAAAUUACACGUUAUUUUCUUGUUGACUGAAUUGGAAGAAAAAAAUAAAAUAAAAUAAAAUUGUAAUCAGGGUGAUGUGUGGAAUAUAGUGAAAUAAAUAAAUAGAGAAGAGAAACUCGUUGAUCAAUUAAAAGCUGGGAGUAUCAUCAGUUCAAUUGGUUAUAAAUAGCGUAGAGCCAUCCUCUCGUUGUUGCAGAACUGAAGGAAAGAGAGACAGAAAGAGUGUGUGUAGGUGAUUAUAAUUAAGAAGAUAUAAUGUGUGGUUCAAAAAGAGUGUGGGUGAGUGAGUUAAUUUUCAUAUUAUUAGUAGUAAACGGGUGGUGGAGUGAGGGAUGUUUGGAGCAAGAGAGGUCUGCUCUCCUCCAACUCAGACAUUUCUUCAAUGAUGAUCAACGUCUUCAAAACUGGAUAGACGAUGAGUAUUAUUCAGAUUGUUGUCAGUGGGAACGGGUUGAGUGCAACAACACCACUGGCAGAGUGAUUAAAUUAGAUCUAAGAUAUACUCGGAAUCGGAAAUCAGCAGAGUGGUAUAUGAAUGCCUCUCUGUUUACUCCCUUUCAACAAUUAGAGUCUCUUGAUCUAAUUGGGAACAAUAUAGCCGAUUGUGUUGAUAAUGAAGGUCCUUAAUUUACUCUAUUUUAAUUCUUCCUCAUAAUUUUUUCCAUUUAUCUGAUCCCUUUUGGUUUUUAUUUAAUUUGUAUGUGAUACAAUAAAAUUAUUUUUUAUUUUUUAUUUUUUGGCAGGUCUAGAUAAGUUAUCAAGGUUGAACAACUUGAAGGUUCUUUAUUUAGACCUUAACCACUUCAACAACAGCAUCUUUUCAUCUCUAGGUGGUCUUUCAUCACUCAGAAACUUAUCAUUGGCUGCUAAUCGAUUGAAUGGAAGUGUUGAUAUUAAAGGUAAGUAAGCUUCAUCCCUUCUCCCCUGUCCCAUCUUUUGUGGAUCUUAUUUCACUGAGCAGCUGGAAGUAUUGAUACGAGAUCUAGCUAGACUCUUGCGAGUUUAGGCUUCACGGCUUUGAAUAGUAUAAAAAUAAGUUGAAGAAAUUAUCAAUAUAUGCAAUUUUCAAUGCUUCUCAUAAUCAGACACAAUUCAAUCUAAUUAUUUCGUAUGUCCUGUCUUCAAAAGUAAAGAAUUGAGCUCCGAUUGGAAAUCGACAUCGUAGCUUUUUAUUUUCUGUAAUGCUAUUUCUUCGUUAACAAGUUUAUAUCCUAAGAGGGAUUGGAUUCGAAAAAAGUUUUGACGUUCAAGGUAAGCCAUAAUAACCUGCAUCUUAUUUGUCUGCCUGUAUCUAAAUUUGUGCACUGAAUUUAGUAUUUUGGUUAUUGUUAAGGGAUCAGAUAUUGGCUUCCAUAGACCAACUUGUACUUAGUUAACUAAUUAAUUAACGACAUUUAGUAUUUAACAAAUUAAAAUUUUGUAUUUAAUCUAUUUUAAUUUUUUUAAGAAAAAAGAAAAAGAUAUAGCAACAGGUAAAGCUAAAAUAUACCUGCUUAAAGCCACUCAGUCGAGCCAUUUGAGAGCUGCUUUAAAUUUUUCGGAUUAGCCAUAUUCUUUUCUUAUUAAUAAAAUUCUUUUCGCUGAGAUUUAACAAAAAAAAAGGAGAAAAUAAUUUAUUUAAUUAACUAUGUUUUAAGUGUUGGAAUAAAUACAGGACUGAAAUCCUUGAGUAACUUGGAGGAGCUGGACAUGAGCUUCAAUGCAAUCGACAAUCUUGUGGUUCCUAAAGGUAUACAAAAUGUUCAAAUAUUAAUAAUUUGGAGGACAGUUUAAUUGAUUUGAUAAGGUGAAGAAACGUGUUUUCAUUUCUUAAAUAAAGCAUUAUACAUUGAGAGUUAUUUAUAGAUGCAGAGGCUACAUUUUUUCAAAGAUUACAUAUGUGAAUACGGAAGGAAAUGUGUCAAUCCGUUCGGCGCGGAUCUUGUCUUUGACAAGUGCAGAUUCUGUCUUUGAAAGCUUCAUUCAAUGUCGUUUUAUUUGAUUCUCAACACUCCCCCUCAAGUUGGUGCAUAGAUGUCUUGCAUACCCAACUUGUUUAGGAAUUUUGUAAAUGCCCUGCUUGAAAUGGCCUUCGUUAAAAUAUCUGCAAGUUGAUCUUCUGAUCGAAUUUUCGGCAGUUCUAAGAUUUUUUCAUCUAAUUUCUCCUUGAUGAAAAAUCUAUCUACCUCCACAUGUUUUGUUCGAUCGUGUUGAACUGGGUUAUGAGCAAUAUCUCGUGCAGCUUUGUUGUCACAGUGUAAUUGUAUUGGUUGUUGUGAUGGAUAGCCCAAAUCGUUUAAGAUAAAACUUAUCCAUUGCCCUUCACAUAUCCCAAGGGCCAUGCCUCGAUAUUCUGCUUCAGCGCUCGAACGGGCAACGACAUGUUGUUUCUUGCUUCUCCAUGUGACAAGGUUUCCUCCCACAAAGGUAAAGUAUCUUGAAGUAGAGCGUCUAUCACUAACUGACCCCGCCCAAUCUGCAUCAGUAUAAACUUCUAUGUUGCUGUAAUCUUCAUUUUUGGAAAAUAAGAUUCCUUUUCCUGGAUUUGUCUUCAGGUACCUCAAGAUCCGCAUUACUGCUUUCAUGUGUUGUUCUCUGGGAUUAUGCAUAAACUGGCUUACAACACUCAAUGCAUAAGCAAGAUCUGGCCUUGUGUGGGACAAGUACAUCAAUCUUCCAAUCAGCCUUUGAUAUCUUCCUUUGUCUACUGGAACUUGGUCUGAAGUAAUACAAAACUUCAAUCCUUCUUCUAUUGGGGUGUCAAUAGGCUGACAAGCUGUCAUUCCCGUUUCGUGCAAUAGAUCUAAGGCAUAUUUCCUUUGAGACAGAAAGAUUCCUCCCUUAGAUCGAGAAACCUCAAUUCCAAGAAAGUAUUUUAAGGCACCUAAAUCCUUUAUCUCAAACUCUCUUGACAAGUACUUCUGAAGAGCCUCUGUUUCUUCCUCGUCGUUGCCUGUAACUACCAUAUCAUCCACAUAGACAAUAAGGGCAGUGAUUUUACCUUGUCGUUUUUUUAAUGAAUAAGGUAUGAUCUGAAUUGCUUUGGUUAUACCCAAAACGAACCAUAGCCUUUGUGAAUUUCCCGAACAAUGCUCUUGGGGAUUGCUUCAACCCAUACAAUGAUUUCUUCAAUUUGCAUACUUUCUGACUGAGUCGUUCUAGUCCACUGCAUCCUGGUGGCAGAUCCAUAUAAAUUUCUUCAGACAGGUCUCCAUGGAGGAAAGCAUUCUUUACAUCGAACUGUUGCACUGGCCAAUCCAAGUUGACUGCUAAUGAUAAUAAGAUACGAAUAGUAUUAAUUUUUGCUACCGGUGCAAACGUAUCAAUAUAAUCAAUCUCGUAGGUUUGGGUGUAACCCUUAGUUACGAGUCUUGCUUUGUAUCGUUCAAUAGAGCCAUAUGCUUUGUAUUUUAUAGUGUAGAUCCAUCGACAACCCAUUGGUUUCUUUCCUGAUAGAAGAUCAACUAGUUCCCAUGUUUGAUUUUUCUGAAGAGAUCUCAUUUCAUCAUUCAUAGCCGCUUUCCACUUUGGAUCUUUUAAAGCUUCCUGAACACUGUUAGGAAUAGAUACAGCAGAUAAUUGAUUCACAGAUGACUGAUUUGAUUCUGACAAGCGAUGGUUAGACACAAAAUGACUCAUAGGGUAUUUGACUCUACUAGAGAAGUCAGGCUCAUAUGUGGGUUUAGGGAUACCUCUAUUUUGACGUUGGGGAAGAAUUCUUCUUAUUGGACUUGUGGUAGGAACAUCCUCUGCAGACGAUUGGUUAGGUAUUUCUUCAUGUGACUCAUUCUCGAUUGCAGUUGUGUUUGAGUUAUUGUGCUCCCCAAAUGUGUCUUCACAUAUCUCAGCCUGCGAAUCAUCACCAUUUGCUUUUCCAGUAUUUUGAAGGUUUACUAUCUCAAUGGAAGAUUGACUUUCUUCAGGUGGAAGAUAUGUAAGAGUAUGAAUUUCCUAUUCAUUAUACUCCCCCUGAAAUUCAGACUCUGACAAGUAGUAUAUGAUAUCUUCAUGAAAAACGACAUCCAUGGUGAUGUAUAUUUUUCUUGAUGGUGGAUGAUAGCAUCGAUAUCCCUUUUGAUGUAAGGCAUACCCUACAAACACACAACGUAGUGUUCGAGGAGAUAAUUUGUCUUGUUGUGGCAAAUGAACGAAGGCAACACAGCCAAACACAUGUGGGGGCAGAUUCGGCAUAUUUGGUGACAUAAUUGCAUCAUUCAGAACUUGGAAAGGAGUCUGGAAUCCAAGGGAGCUUGAAGGUGUUCGAUUGAUCAAGUAUGCUGCGGAUGCCAGUGCUUCUCCCCAAUAAGAUAAUGGCAUGUGGGCUUGGAUUAGUGAUGCUCGAACAACUUCUAGUAAAUGUCUAUUUUUUCGUUCAACAACGCCAUUUUGUUGGGGUGUCCCCACACAAGUGGUUUGAUGGACAGAUCCUUGUGAUUUCAGAAACUGUUGAAUUGCUGUGCUCAUAUACUCGCCUCCAUUAUCAGUAUGUAGAACUCGAAUUUGUGUCUGAAAUUGAGUAGUCACCAUCUUAUGAAAUCUUUGAAAUAAAGAGUUUACUUCGUCUUUCGAUUUCAUCAGAAAAAUCCAUGUCAUUCUGCUACAAUCAUCAAUAAAUGUAACAAACCAACGAGCACCUCCAAUUGUAGAAACUUUAGAUGACCCCCAUACAUCAGAAUGUACUACCAUAAAAGGAACUGGAUUUUUAUUUAAGGACAAUGGAAAAGUAGUUCGAUGGCUUUUUGAAAGUUCACAAACAUCACAUUUAAAGUUACAAACAUCAAAUUUCAAAAACAAACUAGGAAAUAAUUUUUUUAAGUAACCAAAUGACACAUGCCCUAAACAUCUAUGCCAUAACCAAAUUUCUGAUUUCCCUUUUUUAUGGAACUAUCUGCGACUAGUGCGGGGCUUAGCUUUCCAGUGUUUGUUGAUGACAUCUCCAAGUAGUACAAGUUGCCUCGUCUAAUACCAUAACCAAUCGUUUGCUUCGUUUGGAUGUCCUUAAACACACAAUGAUCAGGCCAAAAAAUUACAACACAUGAUAAGUAAGUGGUUAAUUGAGACACAAAUAAAAGAUUAUAAUCUAAAGAUGGAACAAUUAACACAGUGUCUAAAUUUAAUUCAUUUGUGAGUCAUAAAGAUCCUUCCCCAAUAACUGAGGUUGUGGUUCCAUUUGCAGUAGAAAUAUGUUUUUGUGAAGAUGGUUUCAAUUGAGAAACUUGUCGAGAAUCAAAAGUCAUAUGAUCAGUUGCCCCAGAAUCAAUUAUCCAUGUACUAUUAAUAACAGGUGUACGAGUUUUAAGGGCCUUACUUAGACUAACAGAGGUUGCGAUUUGCACUGAAGAUUCUUUUCUAAGAUCUGUAGUGGAUGUGGAUUCAGCUACUGCAGUUUUUGAUCCAUGCUUGGUGUUCUUCUUUCGAGUAUCCCACCAGUUAGGAUAUCCAAUGAUUUCAAAACAUUGUUCUUUCGUAUGACCCUUCUUUCUACAAUGAGUGCAAUGGAGUGAUGACUUGUCAACAAACUUCCUUUGAGGCUGCUGUCGUGCUAUCAUAGUAGACGUUUCUGAGUCGACCUUCUUGUUUAGUUUGCUUUGCCGUAUAUCUUCUCUUCGGAUCAGAGAAUAACAUUCUUCUAACUCUGGGAUAAUGUCUUUUCGUAGAAUUUCUCCACGAACUUGGUCAAAUUCUUCAUCUAGCCCAGCAAGAAAAAUGUGCACUCUCAAUCUUUCAACAGACCUUCUGUAUAUUACAACAUCUUCUGGAUCCUUCAUGACCACUUUAUCUCGGUGAUCAAGUUCUCGAAAUAUUUCGACCAAUUCUCCAUAGAAUUUAGAGAGUGGUUGUCCAUUUUGCUUAGUAGAGAAUGCCUUCUGGUUUAGAGUGAAAACUUGUAAUUCAUCGCUUCCAUCAUAGAAGGCUUUUGAUAAUGCAUCCCAGAUUUCGUAGGCUGUAGGAAUUCGUAAAUAUCGCUUCAUGAUCACCAGAGACAUGGAUAUGAGUAACCAUCUUUUUAUUUUUUGGUUCUCACUAUACCAUUUCUCAUAUUCCUUUGAAGAUUCCUCAAAUGGCUUUGUGCUGCUACGAAUAUAUGAGAGUUUUUCUCUUUCUGCAAGAUGCAUCUCCAUUAUUUGAGACCAAACAUCGUAGUUUGUCUCAGUCAGGAUAAUUCCAGCAUUAAAUACUCCAUCAGAUUGAACAGAUUGAAUGACAACAUGACUAGAUUCAGUUGGAGUUUUCUCCAUUUUUUUUGUUUUUCUUUUUUCUCUUUUUUUUUUGUUUUUUUUGUUUUUUUUGUUUUUUUUGUUUGUUUUCUUUUUUUUGUUUUUUUUCCGUCUAGAUUGAAAGAAAAAAAAAAUAACCUUUUUAGGUAACAAAACGACAGGUCGUUUGGCCACUGCUUGCCAAACUGACAUGUCGGUUAUGGUGGAAUAUAAACGACAUGUCGUUUUAAUCCUGUUGCACUUCUGGAGACUAAGCGUCACGUCGUUUUACCUCUAAUUUAAAAUCGACAUGUCGGUUUUAAUAUAACGAAAAAAGACACGUCGUUUUUUGACUGCUGCACUUCUGAAAUAAAAACGACAUGUCGGCUGACGUCUUCUUCAACCUCUGGAGCAUGUGAGAGCGCGUGAAUGAUGACAGAGGCGCGUGGUUGACUGGCCGUGGCUUCGGGUGGCGGGUGGGAGCGCGUGGGAAUGUGUUUAAAUGCGAAAUUUUUACAGUUUCUUCACUGAAAACUGAGAAAUUUGAUGGUGUUCUUGGGUUUUGAGGAACACACUCUCAGAAAAUUGCUGGGAUUGUUGAUAAAUUUGUAAACUCAAGUUUUUUACGUAUGGGUGGCUUGUUUCUUGAUCGGCAUGGAUAUCUGUAAUGGUAGGAAUGGGUUUAAGAAAGAAAAUGGUGGGAAAAAUGGUUGUGGGAGGAAUUUGGUUUCCUCUAUUUUUGUUACAAACAGAGCAGCGGAACUUGAAGAAACUUGAGCGUAUUCAUGGCUCUGAUACCAUGAAGAAACGUGUUUUCAUUUCUUAAAUAAAGCAUUAUACAUUGAGAGUUAUUUAUAGAUGCAGAGGCUACAUUUGUUCAAAGAUUACAUAUGUGAAUACGGAAGGAAAUGUGUCAAUCCGUUCGGCGCGGAUCUUGUAUUUGACAAGUGCAGAUUCUGUCUUUGAAAGCUUCAUUCAAUGCCGUUUUAUUUGAUUCUCAACAGGAAUGCCCAAUGACACUUACCCAAAAUAAUUUAAUCCGAAAUUGUAUCCCAAAUAGAUUACAGAGGUUUGAGGAAGUUGGAUACCCUUUAUUUGGGAGGGAAGGGAAAUUGCAGUGAUAUAUGGAAGCAAGGUGUUGCAAUCAAUAAAGAAAUUCAUAGGGUCAAUAUUCAAGGACUCUCCUCCAACUCAAACAUUUCUCAAAUAGAUUAUUUAAUCUGAAAUAGUAUCUCAAAUAGAUUAUAGAGGUUUGAGGAAGUUGAAUACCUUUUAUUUGGGGGGGAAGGGAAAUUGCGGUGAUAUAUGGAAGCAAGGUGUUGCAAUCAAUAAAGAAAUUCGUUGGUCAAUAUUCAGGACUCAUCCAAAGUGAUCGUUAAAGUCUAGAGGUCUGCUCUUCUCCAACUCAAACAUUUCUUCAAUGAUGAGAAUUAUUCAAAUUGUUGUCAGUGGGAAGGGGUUGAGUGCAACAACACCACUGGCAGAGUGAUUAAACUAGAUCUAGGAGCCACUAGGAAUCGGGAAUCAUCAGAGUGGCAUAUGAAUGCUUCUUUGUUUACUCCCUUUCAACAAUUAAAGUCUCUUCAUCUAAUUGGGAACAAUAUAGCCGAUUGUGUUGAAAAUGAAGGUCUUUAAUUUACUCUAUUUUAGUUCUUCCUCGUAAUUUCUUACAUUUAUCUUAUCCCUUUUGGCUUUUGUUUAAUUUGUACGUGAUACAAUAAAAUUAUUUUUUAUUUUUUGGCAGGUCUAGAGAGGCUAUCAAGGUUGAACAACUUUAAGUUUCUUUAUUUAGACCUUAACCACUUCAACAACAGCAUCUUUUCAUCUCUAGGUGGUCUUUCAUCACUCAGACAAUUAUCAUUGGCUACUAAUCGAUUGAAUGGAAGUGUUGAUAUUAAAGGUAAGUAAGCUUCAUCCCUUCUCCCGUGUCCCAUCUUUUGUGGAUCUUAUCUCAUUGACGGGCUGGAAGUAUUGAUACGAGAUCUAGCUAGACUCUUGCUAGUUUAGGCUUCAAGGCUUUGAAUAUUACAAAAAUAGGAUUAAGAAAAUAUCAAUAAAUGCAAAUUUCAAUGCUUCUCAUAAUCAGACACAAUUAAAUCUAAUUAUUUUGUAUGUCCUGUCUUCAAAAGAAAAGAAUUGUACACCAAAUGGAAAUCGACAUUAUUGUUUGCUUUUGAUUAGUGGAUCAAAAAUCGACUAAUUUUUGUUUAACAUAAAAAUAAAAAAGAGAAAAUAAGUUAUUUAAUUAACCCUGUUUUAAGUGUUGGCAUAAAUGCAGGACUGAAUUCCUUGAGUAACUUGGAGGAGCUGGACAUGAGCUUCAAUGCAAUCGAAAAUCUUGUGGUUCCUAAGGGUAUACAAAAUGUUCAAAUAUUAAUAAUUUGGAGGACAAUUUAAUAGAUUUGAUUAGGGAAUGCCCAAUGACACUUACCCAAAAUAAUUUAAUCCAAAAUUGUAUCCCAAACAGAUUUCAUAGGUUUGAGAAAGUUGAAUACCCUUUGUUUAGGGGGAAGCAGAAUUCGAAUGAUAGAUGGAAGCAAGGUGUUGCAAUCAAUAGGAUCACUACCGUCCCUUAAAACACUUUAUCUUUCGUCUACUAAUUUUACGGGAACAGUAGUUAAUCAAGGUAAGUAAAUCUUUUAUGUAGAAAAUAAUUGAAUUAAUAUAUAUAGCUAAAAUUUACUGUUUCUACUUCUUUCUAAAUAGAAUUGCACAAUUUCACCAACUUGGAAGAAUUGAUAUUGCUCGGGUCUCAUCUCCACGUAAGCCAGCUUCUGCAAAGCAUCGCAUCAUUCACAUCGUUAAAGCAUUUGUCAAUGCCAGUUUGUACGCUUACAGGUGCCGUACAUGGUCAAGGUAAAUUACGGGUAUCUGAAGCUUUUAUGAUAUUAAUUCGAUAAUAAUUAUUUCUUUUCAAGUUAAUUUUCUCCCAUAAAAUAAUAUAUAUUUUUUUAAAUUUUAUAUAUUUUCACUGUCCAAUAGUUCUAGCUUCUCUAAUUUGCAGGAUUCUUGAUUAAGGUUAAUGAAAUUUUAGUUCUGUUAUGUUAAGAAUAUUUUGAUCGCUAAGAAGAGUAAAGAAAAAUAAGUAAAUUAACCCAAAAAAAGAAAAGAACAGGAACAUAUUAUCCUUAUUACCUUGCAUUAUGUGAUCAAUAUCAAAAUAAUAACCAUUUCUUGUUUAUUGCUUGUAGAUUUUCGUAAAUUCAACAAUUUGGAACAUCUGUACAUGGGUGAUGUGCAGGUUGACGUCAACACCAGUUUUCUUCAAAUUGUCGGCGAAUCGAUGCCUUCUCUUAAGUUUUUAUCACUGACAGAUUCAAGUCUUAAUAAAAACACCAUUCUUGAUCAAGGUUAGUUAAUGAUUCUCUUUCUCCCUCUCGCGCAUCUUAACUAAAUUUAAUUGCGAAUAUCUGUAAUGCUAGCUAUUUAUAAACUUAAUGAAAGAUGAUAAGGAGCCAUAAUAAUGACAAAAAUAACUGUAAAAUAGUGCACUGUUGUAGUGUUGAUUGAAAAAUAAUGCUAAUUUUUUACUUAACACUAUAACGCUGUAUAAUUUUACAGUUAUUUUGUUGCCAUUACGUCAUAUUCUACUGUUCAACUAUCAGUGAUCAAACUUAAUUUUUAAUAUGUACUUUAAAGAUUUUAUGCAAUUAUUUAAGUUUUAUGCAAUUAUAUUUUUCAGGACUUUGUCGGUUAGUGCAUCUGCAAGAGUUAUACAUCAACGGUAAUGAUUUGAGAGGUAGCUUGCCAUGGUGCUUGGCAAAUUUGACUUCCCUUCGAGUAUUAGAUGUCUCUUACAAUCAACUAACUGAAAACAUCUCCUCAUCUCCCCUCAUGCAUCUAACAUCUAUCGAAGAGCUCAUACUUUCAAAUAAUCACUUCUUCCAAAUCCCUAUUUCACUUGAACCACUUUUCAAUCUCUCAAAACUCAAGACUUUCGAUGGUGAAAUAUGCGCAGAAACUGAGUCACAUUAUAAUUCUUUGACCCCAAAAUUCCAACUGACUUCUAUCUCACUGUCUGGUUACAUAGAUGGUGGCACAUUUCCCAAAUUCUUGUACCAUCAGCAUGACUUGAAGAAUGCUGAUCUCUCACACCUUAACUUGAGUGGACAAUUUCCAAAUUGGUUGGUAGAAAACAAUACGAACUUAGAGACGCUUCUUCUUGCCAACAACUCUCUUUUUGGAUCAUUUCGGAUGCCAAUUCAUUCCCACCAGAAAUUGGCAAGAUUGGAUGUCUCUAAAAAUUUCUUUCAAGGCCAUAUUCCGGUGGAAAUCGGAACAUAUCUGCCAUGUUUAAUGGAUUUAAACUUAUCUAGAAAUGCUUUCAACAGUAGCAUUCCCUCUUCAUUUGCUGAUAUGAAAAUGUUGGAAAGGUUGGACAUAUCCUACAAUCAGUUGACUGGUGAAAUCCCUGAGCGCAUGGCCACGGGUUGCUUCUCAUUGGAAAUUCUUGCAUUGUCAAACAACAGUUUGCAAGGUCAUAUAUUCUCUAAAAAAUUUAACUUGACAAAUUUGAUGACGUUGCAGUUGGAUGGUAAUAAUUUCAGUGGAGAGAUCCCAGAAAGCUUAUCUAAGUGUCGUUUCUUAAGAGGAUUAUAUCUAAGUGAUAAUCAUCUCUCUGGUAAGAUUCCAAGAUGGUUGGGUAAUUUGUCAGCUUUAGAAGAUAUUAUAAUGCCCAAUAACAAUCUUAAAGGACCAAUUCCAAUCGAGUUUUGUCAGCUUGAUUAUCUGAGGAUUUUAGACCUUUCAAACAAUAGUAUUUUCGGAACCUUACCAUCUUGUUUUAGUUCAGCAUAUAUCGAACAAGUUCAUUUGUCAAAAAACAAGAUAGAAGGACGGUUGGAAAGUAUAAUCCAUGACAGCCCCAAUUUGGUGACAUUAGAUCUCAGUUAUAACCGCUUACACGGAAGUAUUCCAAAUCUGAUUGACAGACUACCUCAGUUAAGCUACCUUCUUUUGGCUAAUAAUUAUAUUGAAGGUGAAAUACCAGUUCAAUUAUGCCAGUUGAAGGAAGUGCGGUUGAUUGAUCUUUCUCAUAAUAAUCUAUCUGGUCAUAUUCCUCCUUGCUUGGUUAACACUUCACUCAGUGAAGGUCAUCAUGAGGCAGUAGCUCCAACUUCUAGUUCGCAGGAUCAAUCGCCUGCCUUACUUCCAUCUGAGGCUCCAACUGGAUCUCCGAUGGGAAAGGAAGAAACUGUACAAUUCACAACAAAGAAUAUGUCCCACUAUUAUCAAGGAAGAAUUUUGACGAGUAUGUCUGGGAUUGAUCUUUCUUGUAACAAACUGACAGGUGAGAUUCCUACUCAAAUUGGAUAUCUUACUAGGAUUCAUGCACUAAAUCUAUCUCAUAACAAUUUGACGGGCACAAUCCCGACAACAUUUUCAAACCUGAAGCAAAUCGAAAGCUUGGACCUCUCCUACAACCUACUGCAUGGGAAAAUCCCUUCUCAGCUCACUGUGCUAAAUACAUUGGCGGUCUUCACAGUAGCAUACAAUAACUUAUCAGGCAAAAUUCCAGACAGAGUUGCACAAUUUUCAACUUUUGAGGAAGAUAGCUAUGAGGGGAAUCCUUUUCUUUGUGGAUGGCCACUGUCUAAAAGUUGCAAUGAUAGUGGAUUAUCAGCAGUGACACGAGAAGCUUACACUGAUAAUGAAGAAGGUGAUAGUUUAAUUGACAUGGACAGUUUCCUAAUCACUUUUACAGUAUCUUAUGGAAUUGUGAUAUUAGGAAUUAUUGGAGUUUUAUACAUAAACCCCUAUUGGCGACGAAGAUGGUUUUACCUUGUUGAAGUAUGUAUGAUCUCUUGCUACUAUUUUGUAGUAGAUAAUCUUAUUCCUAGAAGAUUCUAUGGUGGAUGGAUGUAAUUUCAUUUACUUUACAACUUAUAUGUAAUUUUUAAAGAAUUUUCUUUUGCAUGCAUGGAAUAGCAACUCAAUAAAAGUAUUUGAUGCAAAUUGUCCUAGAACAACUUAGUAAUUUCAUUGCUACUAUUUGGUUGUAUAUAUACAGUUAAUGAAAUUUUUAAUCAUUCGCAGUAGGAAUUUCUUUAGAUGGCGGCCAAAACUAACAGAUUUGGGGCUCUACUUCUACACAUCAUAACAGGCAAAAGGUCUCUCUUUUACACGAUCUGAAUGAAGAUUAACUUACGCCCUCUAGGCUCUGGAGUGUGUGUAAGUUCUCUAUUAAACUUGACGGUUGAGAUUUCAGGUCCAGAUGAAAGUUAAAUGCAGGCGACGAGACUUCACUUCAAGUAAACUGGGACAAACUGAGAGUGAUGGGUAGCUCAACUUAUGGAGGAUAACUUGGACUUGGAGUAACUAUCAGAUUUGCAACUCUUGUUAUAUGCUAGUGGGGAUUUAGGUAGCAAUUAUCGCCUUGAGAGUUACAGUAAUCGAUUCAUUUCCUCCUCCAUUUCUGAUGGUAACCCAGCUCUAUACAAGAACAAUCAGAGAAGGUUCAUUUAAGAAAUUUCACAACCCACAUUUUUUUUUUCCUUUUUGCCCUCUUCCUCACAAUAAAAACACCUAACACACCAAGCCGUGCACAAAAUAGUCCUAUUUUAUUCAAGUCAUGAAUCCAAAAACUAUCCCAGCUCACUUUGUUUAACCAGCAUAACUAAAUUGUGGGCAUAAAUGAACACACUUUCAGAAAGCUACACAAUACAAACUGGGUUUCACUUGCAGAAAGCUACACGAUAGACAAAAUCUAGCAGCUACAUAAUGGUAUCACUUUCAGCUGGUCAUGAAUGGUGUGCAUUCAGCAAUGCUCGAUAGACCAUGUCUAUGAAUUGAUUGUCCUAUUACAUAUAAAAUCUGGUCAGAUAUACAAGGAAAAAAAUAAUAAUUGAAAAUGCAUCACAAAAAAUAAGUCUCGCAUUAGUGUUUGCACUCUAAGCAUGAUUUGAAGACUGCGAUAAGUGAAAAAUAGUUCAAUCCACUGAUGAGCAUAAAUUUAUUUAAAUGUCAAUUUAGAUAUCAUAAAAAAGUAAACAGUAAUUCACAGUCACUUAAAAGAGUUGAUAAAAUGCGUGCCAUGAAUGCAUUUUUGUACAUAAGAAAUCCAAAGAGUAUUUCUGACAAUACAAAUAUGCUAGCUUUAAAUCUGCCGUCAAUAUGCAAUUAAGAAGAUUAUACCAGCUGCACGAUAAAGUUCCCCUAAUCUUAAUAACAGUAAACAUGAACAUGUCAGAUGCAAUUAUAGCUUCGAGCAUUUGCAUAACCAGAAAUCCUAACCUGAACAAGCACCAGAAGUGUCUCUCGGACUUUCUCCUUGCUGAUAAAUGGUCCGCUGUUUGAAGUAAGAGCAGGAGUAAGAGAUGGUGGAGGGGUUGGUGGUGGAAAAGGUUGAGGGACUGGGGCACCAUAUGGGCUGCAACACUCAGGGGAGGAUUAAGUGGCGGAGCUGUUGGUGUAGAUGAAGAGACAAGCUGCAUCAUCCGUGCAUAGGAGGAUGGAGGAGGAACAAAGAAUAAGGAAGGCUUUACAAGAUUAGGGGUAGGUGCUGAUAGAGGUGGAGAUGGUAUUUGCAAGGUUGGCACGAUAGGAGAAGCAACACUGGCGGGAUGAGAAGAUAAAGAAAUAGUUGUAUUGGACUGGUAAGGUUGUGCAGAGAUUGCUGCAUUAGAAGUAUUCCCUACAGUCAAAGCUGUCUGCAAUGAUAAGGACAGAUGUCAUAUACAAGGACAUCAUAGAAGUUGAACCUCACACAAAAAUGAAGUGAUAACAUAUGAAAAUAGUAUAUGACUUGCAGCAUUUUUGUGGUAAUGUUGCAUACUUAUGUAGAAACAUAUUAUUUCAAAGAAAACAUACACUGAAGAAGUUCACAAAAGCAGGAUCUUCAGGAACAUCAGCAGCAUUUGAGGGAGUUGACUCUAGAGGACCAUCCAUAACUGCCAUAGUUGGAACAGCUUCCAGUUCCUCAAACUCACUGCAGUUUAACAUAAAAGGAACUUGAUGACCAAUUUAAGUAAUAAUUAGAUGAUAUAAGAGGUUAGGGAAAAUGAUGAGUGGACCCUUAUGGAAGGUGAUUUCACCUUAGCUAAACACGAAAAUAAAAAGAAAUCACCUCGAGUGCAAUGCAAAGAAUUUUUUCUCUCUCUUCUCUAACUCCUCUUAUUCGAAAUUGCUCAUCAUUGUGCUGUUCUUCGAGUUUUCGCUAGAGUAGAGAAAGCUAUUCUCCCGUUAAGUGCAGAGGAAAGAGAAGGGAAAGGGCCUGGUAUGAUGCUAUUCUAUAGGAAGUGAGAAGGUGAAGGGUCGAAAUAUUUUGUAAUUUGGAGGUGGUGUUUGUUAGUGUGUGUGUACUUCUGAAUUUAUUACCUCUGUAGGAUCCAUAGAAAUUGCCUCUUGUUCAGCAUGCACUGUGCCUACGAGUAAGGCGAGCUUGCAUGGUAUCUAUUGUCUAUUUACUUGGAUAUUCAAACAGGACUACCAGUAACACAAAUCCCCAAACAAAACACUCUUUCAAGUGCAAGGAAAGAGUAACUUGGCCAUAUUUAUGGUUCAAGCACUACAAUAACUAAGAAUGUGAUGACUGUCCACAAACACUAUAUCAGUGCCUUUUGAACUACAUCACAUGCUCGAAGACUUUUUUUUUUAGUCAUACAUAAAUUAGCUAUAAAAUUAAGACCAUUAUACAACUAAAAAGAAAGAAAAAUUGUUUGCUACUACAUAUCAAUGUAAGAUGGCAGACUUCUUACUUAAACAGAUGAGAGGCUACAAAUAAAAAAUUUGUGCAAAUAAAAUAUAUGAUAAAGAGCAUAAUACUUUCUUGGGGGCUAAAAAUAAUAUACAACUUGUGAAAUAUAAAUUGAGCUACCAUUACCUUUUAGAUGUGGCAACUUUCGACUUUUGAGGCACCUUGGAAUAUGCAUUCAGAAUCCUGCAUUUGGAAGCCAAAUAAAUAAUGUUAAUAACAAUUUUACAAUAGAAAAAUUAAAAAUUGAUAAAUGGCAGUUGUAAUUUAUGUAUGCGUAAAGAUAGCUUCACAUCCAGGGUCCUCCCAUAAACAUGCUUGUAACAAGAAUUAGUUUGCCUCAACUGUUAGCAACUGCUAACAAUAUACAAUAGUAAAAAUCACUCUUAUGAAGUCAACAAUACUAGGCACCAAUAAGAGUAUGAUACAGCCAUUCUAAAAUGGAAGAGAAUACAACUGUUUUACAACUUUGUUGCAUCAGGAGAUAUGUUAGGAGGAUUAAUCCAGAUACCUUCCAACCCAAUUAGGAAAACUCGAGUCAGAAACAAGGAGCUGCAACCGAACCUUACAAUCUUGAAGGAAGAAGGAGACUUGGGGCAUUUUUCCAGAUAGGUGACUUACUAGAUCUCCUGCCAAGAGAAUAUCUAUUGCUUUGAACCUCCAUUGAAUUUUCUUUUCCCUUUUUCUGGUUUUGACUUGGAACUUUCCAGCAUCAUCUAUUUGAUCUUUUUUAAAGCGAAAAAAGCAAUCUAUGGGUUGUCAACAUCUUAUCACCCCCCCCCCCCGGCCCCCAAAAAAAAAUCAAUGAGUUGUCAAUAAAUAGCGCCUACUCAAAUGUUUUCCAAUGUAUAACAAUGUGCAAAUCGACCUAGUAGCCACAUUUUUCCCCGGUUUCAACCACCGUAUGCAACUUUUCUAACCUUCCUUCAUUGCCCACGUCUACAGAACUAUCAUAUAAAGACUACAUUAUUAUUGGGAUAGAGAAAAAAAUACAGACUAUAUUAUUAUUAUAUCUCAUUUUAUUAAUUAACUAGUGCAAGACUUAUUUAGUGUCAAAUCAAGAACUAAUUAGAAAAGACAACUCAUGAUAAUACAGACCUUAAAAAGCAAUAGCUAGGACCACCCCAUAUACUCCUAUUUUAGCCUUCAAUAUCCUGGUAAAAACACAAUUAAGUCUUGCAAAAGAACAUUCACAAGUAAAUUCAACAUUAAUUAAGAUUAAGUAUCUACUGCACCUUCAAUCAAUGACUGGGUGAAUAGCAUGGUCAACCAUCCAGUUCCUGUAGCCCUCCUUGUACCUAUGUUAGUUACAUUUUACAUAUUAAGCCAGGAAAAUGAAGGAUCACAGCCUGGUAAAGAAAGCCAUUAAUUAAUAGUUUUUGUUUAACAAGUUCUCGUUUAGAUCUUUCCUAUUCAAUGAAUCAAUGUAAUCCAAGGAGAACUCUUCCAUUUCAAGCAGUGUUAGAAGAUAAUUGGAAAGCCUAAAGAUAAUAUACAAGGACCAAGAUAUCAAUUAGGUCAAAUAGUGAAUGUCAAAUAUAAAAAAUAAAUAAAAGAAGUUGUACAUGAUCAUUUACUAUCAAGUUCUGUAAAACUGAAAAUACCAUUAUCCCUAUAGAGAUUCUCAAACAACUCUUUAGCAAAUUAUAAAAUAGUUAAAAAAAGAACGAAAGUUUAAAAAAAAAAAAUGUACAACAGCCAUAUCAGGAGAUGUUUUUCUUCUCAAUCUCAAUAUUUUCUAGCCGUAAAACAAUUGAAAAGCUUAACACCAAGUGAAUUAUUAAGAAUUCAUCAUUUAAAUUCCCAAAUCGCGAAAUGUUGGUGCAACUAGGAAAGUGCAAAUGCAAUCACUUUACUAACACAAGAAACAUCAAUAGUGAGAAGCCAACUUUGUAUCAAAUUUGAAACAGAUAGAUAGAGGUCAAAAAAAUUAUAAAGACACUCAAUUAAAAGCCUUUCAAACAGCUUUUGCAUGCAACAAGAACAAAUCAAAGGCGAUGUGAAUGUAUUGAAAGACUAAUUUACAAUCAUCUACAGGACAUAAAUAUCUUGGAUAACUACUCUCUAUACCUUACUGUCCCACUGAAAAUCAUCAAAUCCCUCCAAACAAAAAUGACAAAAUGGAUAAGAAUUGUGUGGUCAAACUUCAAUAACUUAGCAGCCACAGCAAAAACUUAUGUAGACACGCAAGCCACUCAAAAUAGUCAUAUUGUUUGCUUUCCAAACACAAGCCACUUUGUAAUGAAUAUUCAUAAAUUGCUACUACCAUGUUUGUUAAAACACGUGAAAACCACCAUCACUAACUAAAUGUAACUAAUGAUCAUCAUCACGUUCAUGGAAUCACAUGUCUGACAGUAUUAAUUAGUGCAAAUGGCAUGCUUCUUAAAACUCCUUAUUUAUCACAUGGGUGGCAUUCCAAUCAACCAAUGAUUCUGAUCUAGUCAGCAUAUUCAACCCACGAGCCAGUAAUACCUCCAUUGCUUCUUUAGAUUUCUCAACAAAAUUCCACAUUCUAACCAUACUUCUGAACUUGUUGCUCCCAUAGACUAAUACAAUAUAAAGAUUUCUUCCCACACCACCUCAGCCCUCACUCCUAAAAAACCAAUUUAAAUUCUCAUUGACUGUACAACCUAUAGUCCAUACCAAAUUGAAAAAUUUACAAUAUAGAACCUCAAAGAAUCUUCUUGCGUUCCAUUUUUUACGGCAAGAAAAUUGACUUUUACCACAUGCAAGUCAACAAAUAAAACAAUCAUGUCUUUGUGAGAUGCACAUUUUCAGACGAAUCUGAAGAACAAUGAAACCAUAAAAACCUAAUAUGAGAACACCGAGGACUCCAGAUAUCAUCUAUAGAAUCUUUGGUCCACCCUUGCAUGAUGAAAAAAAAUUGAAGGCUUCGUCACCAACUCCCCAGGUUGUUUUGUUCUCCUAUCUCCUAAAUGUAAAUGAAAGACAACCCGUUCUUUUUCCAAUCUUCAGGGGCACAGAACGACUCUAGUAUUAAAUAGUCAGUUUCUAUACAAAAAUAACUCCUUUGCACUUGGCACUGCACAUCUCAAAAUAAAAAGCAUGCAAGGAGGAGAAUAUAAUAGCAGUAAACAAGUUUUAUUAACCAAACUUCAAAGAUGCCACACAAGGCAAAAAAGAAAUCUGUACAAGCCAGAUCCCAAGAAUAAUAAUUCCAAUAUACAAUUCAUGAAAACAAUAACAAAAACCAUGUUCAUGAGGCCUCAGCAGAAGCAACAUGUAAUAACCAUACUCUAUUAUUUGAAACACAUUUCCAAGUUUGGUUAAGAUUCUAAACUAUUCUCUAUCUGUCAAUUAUUAACAUGUAAAACAUAAUAAUAUACACUUAAACUACUACAGUAGUAAAACCAGUAAAACAACAAUACCUGCUAAAAAGAUUUGCUACCUCUUCACAUUCACGAGCAUUGUAGAACCAAAUCCCAUUUACUUCUUGCGAUGCAUUCCGAUAUAACAAAUACGGAACCUGAACUUCAAACUCUAAAUCUCCCAAAAGAUUUUCCACUAAAUUAUCUGCACAUAUACAAGAUAUUGAAGCUUAUCAGUGCAAAAACAUAUACAAAAAGACAUGAAGGUUAGGAGACAUAACUAAAACUUAGCAACAACUGAUAAGCACAACAAGACAUGAAAUAUAACACUAGUUGUAAACAAGAUAGACACACGGUAUCUAAAUAAUUGUACCAACCCCCUCUCCUGAUUGUCAUAAAAUGGCCAAUAUUUAACGCUAGACAACAACAUUGCAAAUACUCUAGCCUCUAUAUUAUUGGCAUAUAAAUAUUUUCGGUUAGGUACAUUAUAUUCUUCGUUCUAAAACCUCAAUUAUUAGCUAGUACUGUGAUAAAAUGAUUCAUCACUGAAAUUAAAACUAGUUCACGUACAAAUAAUCAAAACUGAAAUAGAAACAACGACAAACCAACCUGUAUUACGUCGAUUCAUCACAACAAACUGAAAUCGAGGCUGUGUGUUCCUGAAAAUUGAAAAAAUAAUAAUUUCAUCAACUUCAUAUGUAAUACAAUCUCCAAAACACCGAAUAUCAAAUAAAAAAAUGGAAAGCAUACGAGGGAAAAUAAUCUUAUUUUAUGACCUUUUGACGACGAAGAGAGAUCCUUCAACAUCCUUACGACUCCAUUGGCUGAGAUCGAUGUUGAACUCGUAGAAGGUGACAUGAGCGGCCGUGAUGAGGAUCUCCUCAAUGAAUGGAUCAAUUCGCUGAAGAACCGUCAGGUUUAGGAGUUUUGUGCUCUGCUGGUCCAGAUUAGGCAUCAAUUUUCCGUUCUGCGACAUAUUUCAUAGUCCUUUUGGGCUCUGCCCCCAGCACAAGCCCCAUGGUUUUUCUGUGAGCUCUCUCUUUUGUAAAUAAAGUGUUCGAUGAGAUAGCCGAGAGAGAGUGAAAGAGUUGAACAGCCAAACAAGGUGAGGUGAACAGUUUCGGACCGAGACUCGAGAUUGAUCUUGCUUUAACUUCUUUUUAAACAUUUGGGAAAUAGCAUUUAUUUCUUUCAAUUUCUCUACUUUUUUUUUCCUUUAUGUCAUUUAGACCCCAAAAUUAGAUUUAUUAUAAUCAUAUUUUACCCAUACACUAUUAACCCAUUUUAUUUUUUAAAUUGUCAAAUAUUAAUGUAUUAAAAUAAUGUUAGAAAUCCCAAUUAUUAUCUCAAUGUUUCAAUCAUAACUAAUGUGAUAACUCAUCGGUAACUGCAACAUUAACUUAAUUAUUAAUGUUUAUCAUGAAAUGAUGAGAUUAUUAUUCAAGAAAAACUUAGUAAACAUCAAUGACUAAUAUAAUAUGACAAUUACAGCUGAAUAUUAGUACAAGAAUUAGGAUCCCUAAAGUUAGUGAAUGUAUUAUAAUAUAUGUGUGUUACACCACUUUAUGUCUCUCAAAUUUAAUUAAGUAAUUUUAUAUUCAAUGAAUCAAUGUAAUCUAAAGAGAACUCUUCCAUUUCAAACUGUGUUAGAAGAUAUUUGCAAAGCCUAAAGAUAAUAUACAAGGACCAAGAUAUACACAGAUUGUUUCUUUAUGGAAUUAAAGAGCUUUAUAGAUGUUAAAACUGUUUCAAACAAUUUUUCUUGUUUGGUUUAACUAAGGAAGAGCUUGUGGAAGAUUAAAAAUGAUGUUUCCUAUUCUCUGUAGGAAGCUUUUAGGAGAUAUUUUGGGCUUUUUUGAAAGGUUGAAUUGUCAAAAAUACCUUCAUGUUAUUGUUUGCUAAAAGAUGUUAUGGACAACUAAACAACCAACGACAUUUUGUUAAAAACUCUACUAGUGUAGGAUCUACUUAAAGAAGUUAUACCAAACAGACUCUUAGACUGAAUAACCCGAUCUUAAGUUUGUAAAAUUGGGCUCAGAAUCUUCACUAACAACCCCGCUUCGGUGAGAAAGCCCAAGCCUGUUACUUUGUAUAACCUUAUUCUGUAUGUUUGAUUGUAGGAACUGGCCAAUCAUACCGACGAGGUGAGUGUGCAGCAUGAGGUGCUUGACGGGAUGUUUACUUUCAAUGAUACAACUAAAGCUAGCCUCAACAUAUAUCAGGUGCCUGCUUGUUUUUGCCUUCUAGAUACUAAUAUUGUUUAGACGUGUAAUCUCUCUCUCCAUUGAACGCUAGCCAAGAGAAAUGUCUGAAUUAUCGAAACAAGAUGAAUUAUUUUUUGUUUAUCGCAGCAGACGAUCUAUGAGCAGAAUUUCUUACAACAAAAGAUGUGUGUCCACCGGCUUGUAUUUAGUCUCGUAAUGCAUUUUAUAUAUAUGCACGCGCACACAGUUUGAGAAGAAUCAGACCAUUAAUUUUCGUUUGAGCCAAUCAACAGAAUGUACAUUUCUUCUAUGAACUUGUAACCGAAACCGCAGUUUUUCAGGUUUGAUGCAUCUGGGAAAAUUUUCAGAUGGAAUAAAACCACCAUGCGCCAAGGUACCAAUGAUGUUUCUUCCAGCUUACGAGCACUUCAAAUAAACUUAGGUCAUAUUUACACAAGGGCGCACAUGAUAUCAAUCUAAUGGCAAUUAUAUCAUCUAAAAUCCAAGACCAAGAGUCUCCCAUUUUCCCGUUCCCUACUCUGUUCAUAUUAUCAUAACUUGAAGUUGCAAGGCAGCCGCAAUCUCCCAGAUCUUUGCUCCUUCCUCAUAGCAGUUAAUCAAACGAUAAACAGAGAUAUCCCAUGUCAACAAGGAGGUAAUCAUAAAAGAACAACAGAAUUGUUGCAAUAUAUUCAUAUGAAAUGUAAAACAAUUUUGAGAAAAAAUAUUGGGAAGAUAUUUUUUUUUUCAUAGAAGUUGCAAUCUUUACGUUAUAUACUAGUUUGACUAGACUAUACAAGGAAGCUAUAUGAAAUUAGAAAAAUAAGCUAUACUAGGAAAGAAUAAAUAUAUGUACAGAAAAUUAGGCUAUAAUCUCUGACUUUCAACAAAUUUAAUAUCAAUUUUCUUCAGGAAGUUGUCUCGCAAGGGGCGCAUCAGUAUUGCAACGUCUGCUGGGUCUUACAUUAUCCACAAAAAUAACUCGUCCAUCUAGUAACUGCAAGUACAUACUGUGAGAUGCUUAAACUCAACAAUAUAAGCAUGGUAAAUUAGAGAAAAAUGAUGCAAUUUUACCUUCCCAUUCAUGUCUGCCAAGGCUUUUUGGGCUUCCUCUUAUGUACUGAAAGUCACAUAUCCGUAACCUUUUGAUCUAUUCUUACCUUAUCCAUUAUUAUUGUAGCUGCAAAAAGAAAAGAAUCGGAUAUUACAAAAUAGUGAAGAGGGAAGAGGGGUUGAGACUUAAAACAGAAAUAGACCAAACCCUCAGUGACGUGGCCAAAUUGUGAAAAAGCAUCAGCUAACAUGCCUUUAGUGGUUGAGAAAGAUGCGCCUGCAAAGGAUGCCAGUUAAUUUUAUCAUAAUUAGAUGGUAAGAUUGCAAAUUCUGCAGCCAAAGGUAGUACGGAACUGAAUGAAGGAAAUCAAAUAUGAAUAUGUUGUCAAUCUCAAAAUAUUAAGAGUAGCAUAAGUAACUUGUGAAACAGUUAUAAGUUCAAGGGAAUUAGAUGAUGGUAUGGUUGAAUUUAUAAAUAUUUGAUAUUUAACAAGUUAGUGUGUACUAUGCAAUUGCAAAAUUUAAGUUCCACAGAAUCGGUUCCUUUAACAUGAUGCAUCACAUAAUAUUUUGUUUGCAAAAUAAAGAAGAAAGAUGACAUAAUAGAAACACUCACAGAGAGAGAAUACCUUUGACGAAAAGCUUAGAAGUGAAUCCUCUGUAAAAUACGAGUUGAGCUGCUGAAUUUUCGAGUUUGAAUGAGAGACUGCGGCAAUUCUGAAAAUGUUUUUUUCUCAUUAGCGCCGCCAUUUUUGUAAUAGAGGGUAAAGAAAUAAGUAACAGAGUAAGAGGUGAGCAGAAACGGCCCAAUUUAGUUAUAUGCCAUGCAUGCGAUCAAAAUUGAAUGGUUAAAUGGCAGCCACUAUGUUACAUCUUGUGUAAGUAACAAACCGCCUACAUGGAUCGUUGGAUUUGGGAAUAUGAAAUCCAAUGGAUAAUAUUGAAUUUAACGAAAAAUAGAUUACAGGUUGCAUUAGUCCAAGAUUAUUUCAAACAAACCAGCUGAUGAAAUAGCCGCUAAUCAAAUUUAAAAGGGAAAAAAAAUCAUAGGUUAUAGAUCUUAUUUCCAUCUUAAAUCUAUGUCUUUCAUGGUAACUCAAUGUGUAUUCUAAUUUAUAAUUUGGAUCUAUAUUAGAGCUAAUGCUUCCCUAAAUAACUAAGAAAAUUUUCUUUUCAUUGAUUAAAUAUCUAUUUCCAAGAUCUUGUAUAUGUAGGAUUUGAAAAGAGGGAGAAUAGUAGGGUUGAUAAUGAGAGAAGAUAGAGAUGUCCAUUCUCAAAUCUAAUAUUAAUGCUAUACUUAUGUUCCUAUACUAAAUAAAUUAUCCAAGGUUCGUGGUUAAUGAUAAGUUGCGAAAUUUUAAUUUCUAUUUAAAGUUUUGUCUAAUAUGGCUUUUCAUAAAGCUUAGAGAAAAGUAGAGCUUUUACAAAAAAACAUUUAAUUAGAAUUGUGAAUGAUAAAUUUUAUUAAAAUUUUUUAAAAAGUACUUUAAUAAAUAAGCUUUUAAAGUUAUAUAUAUUAUGAAAGAAAUGAAAUAAGAUUAUAUAAUAAAUUAAGAGUAUCUUAGAUAAUUGAACUUAAAAAAAAAACUCGCUAAGAGGAUUAAAAUUUGAGUUUUAAUAGUGGAUACAAAAUAGUUUAUUUAAUUCUCAAAAGCUCUACUCAAAAUAGUUUAUUUAAUUCUCAAAAAAUAUUUUUUUCAAUGAGUAAAUAAUACUAAACAUGCACUAAAGUGUUAGGACCAGAAGUUGUCCAAAUAAAAUCAUGAAAUUAUAUGCUGUUGGAUGGAUAUUUUUCAAAUUUGCUGUAGUUUUUUUUUCUUUUCUGCUGGGAAAUUGAAAUGAUGGCUACAACUUAAAUUAUGAAUGGAGUAAUCGGAGAAUAUUGAAACCCAUUUAAUUUGGAUCGUGCAUUGAGGGACGAAAGGAUAAAAAAUUUAAUUUUGAAAUUGCUGUUGGGUACGGUACAAUGACUUACCGUUGACAGCUUGUGCAACCGGAUUACAAUCGGUUAGUUCAAUAAUUUUAUAUCCCUAUUCAACCGCCACGUGCUGCUGUUACAUGGGUCAAUUACUCAUGUCAUUACUGUUACUUACAGCUGCUGUAACAUAACCGGACCCAAAUGGUUAAAUUCUGUUGUUUCCAAUAAUUUUAUGCUGUAUCUUCUUUAAUAAUAAAGAAAACUUGCAUUAAAAUUAAAAUUAGGGUAAUGCCUGAUUUUAUAAAUAGAUUGCAAUGUAAUUUUGAAAAAUAAAUUAAUAAUUUACGAAAUGUUUAUAACAUAAUUUAAUUUUUUUCAAAAAGGAAAAACAACAAAAGUAAAAAAUAGAGAAUGAGGGCUACAAACUUUGCAUCUUAAACGGCCGUUAGAUUAUUUGUAAAUGAAAGCAACGGUCAGAUAUUGGUGGAUUAUGGAAACAUGUAAUCAUAAGGACUACGAGUUUUUUUUUGUUACAUUAAUAUAUUACAAUCAAAAUUCUGUUGGUAUUUAGAACCAGAAUUUCAUUUGACUAUCUUUGAUAAUUCUAAGCUGGUACAGCCUAAAUUCUUAUUCUCAUAUAAUAUCAAAGAGAGAUAUAUAUUCUUCUCCUCUAUUAAUAAAGAGACAUUUUUACUUCUAUCCAAUUUAAAUAGAACAAGAAUUAAGUCAUUUUAAUAGUUAGGACUCAAAACUCAUACACGUUAGUUUGAGAGUGUGGGGUGUGACAAUGGGCCAAGAGACCAUUGACAAAUACAAAAGAGUGGCAGAAAUUAAUUCAAACCGCUACACACGCUAUUGCAACCAAAUUGAGGGCACAUUUUUGUUUAUUUUGUUGAAAAGUAGUCUGUAAAAUUAACUCAAACCGCUACAUACGCUAAUGCAACCCAAUUGAGGGCCCAUUUUUGUUUAUUUCGUUGAAAAGUAGUUUGCGCAAUUAAUUCAAACCGCUACACACACUAUUGCAUCUUUUGAAAAAGAAAAAUGGAAUAAUUUUUCAAAAUUAAUUUAGAGAAUAAGAUUUACUAAUAAUGAUGUUAGAAAUCUUAAUAUUUGAAUCUUAAUAUUAUCUAUAGAAAUCUUAAUAUUUGAAUCUUAAUAUUAUCUAUCACUCAUUUAUUAAAUAAUAAAUUUCAUAGUUUGUAAAAUUACUUAACCACUUGAUAAAUGUUAUAUUUGUUGGGACUAGAUUGGGACUUAAAUAUUAGAAUAUCUAGUAUUACAUAAAAAAAAUUAACAAUUUAUCUUCACACGACUAAUUGUUUUUACAUCACAACUAACCUUAAUUAUUUUAAAAGUUAUAGUAUUAUUAAAUUGCCCUAACUAGUUAUCAAAAGGUGAAAGCAUGUUUUAAAAAGAAAUUACUAAGAAACAUUUGUUUAAACGAAGGUUAAGGUUAUGAUCAAUUAAUUAAGAAGAAACUUACUAUCAAAGGUUAAGAUUAUGAACAAUUUAAGGAAGUUAUUGAGCAGAGAAAGGGACAGAAUGGAUGUUUGAAUUGCCGGUGACAAGAAUGCUUGUGUUGUGAAAAGAAAUCCGAUGGUUUGUAAAUGGGUUGAAUUUUUCGCUCGCUUCAAUGACUUGCUUAUGCCCAAUAUAUUACUUUGCACAGUAGUAUUUGGGAUCCUAACAAUCAACUCUUAAUUUGGUCCCAAUAUAUUACUUUAUGAAUGAUUAGUUAAUAACUAUCAUGUUAAAGCUUCUGUCAAGCAAACACCCAUUGAAUUUUUCGCUCGCUUCAAUGACUUACUUAUGCCCAAUAUAUUACUUUGCACAGUAGUAUUUGGGAUCCUAACAAUCAACUCUUAAUUUGGUCCCAAUUAGUAUAGUAAUCAUCUAUUGAGCGGUAAAAUUUUCUUGCUUUCAAUUUCCACUGUUAUUUUUUUUAAAUAAAAUAAUUUAUUUAAACUAGUCAUAGAAAUAAGAGAGAAAAGGGGUCAUUUCUUGACUCAAAGUCAAUUGUAAUUAUCAAAACUUGAGGGGACAUCGCAUGCCUAAAUUCCACACACCCUAAAACGGUUUGAUUUGCUUUCAGGCGUUCAUGAAUUUCCAUGAAAGAGCCUGCCUUUCGUCUCUUUCGGGACAGUGACUACAAUAAUGGAAAAAAUUAUAAUUCUCGUUAGAUUGUAACCAAAUUAUUAUCCCUAAUUUUUUUAAGUUAAAUAUAAUUAAAUUCAUGCUUAAGUAUUUAGUAAUUAGAGAGAGAUAGAGAGGAUUGAGGGCCAAUGUUUCGCGAUUUGGGGUCAAUUUAAAGUCAACUAACGUGUAAAACACGUGUAUGCAUAGAAAACGCUUAGAUUAUUUGUGUUCCCAAGUGCAAGAAAUUAAGAAAAGAAAAUUUGAUUUCCUUUCAUGAACUUCCAAGAAAGAAAGAAGACCCUUCACCUUGUUCGUGACAACAAAUGAAUGAAUGAUGUUGAUAUGACAAAUACAAGCGCUAUUACAGGGAACAGCAUAAGAUCGAGACUUGAUAAAGGGUUUGUUAAAUUACAUGUUAUUUUCUUUUGACUUGAAUGAUGUUGAAGAAAAAAAUAAAAUAACAUUGUAAUCAGGGUGAUGUGUGGAAUAUAGUGAAAUAAAUAAAUAGAGAAGAGAAAUUCGUUGAUCAAUAUUCAAGAACUCAUCCAAAGUGAUCGUCAAAGUCUAGAGGUUCGGUAUGAUUAGCAUUUAUUUUUAUUUUUUUUUGGCUUAGCAUCAUAUAUAGUCACCUGUCGUGUGAUCUAGGACAUGUUUAGAAAUCCUUUUAUUUUAACUUCCGUAUUCUUAUUAUUUAAUUAGUUAUUGGGUUUUUAAGUAUUUGAGUAUUGAUCACAUGUCUCCUAAUCUAAAAAUAUGUUUUUAAGAGUACAAAUAACAAACUAGGAUUUUAACAGCCUUUUAUACUAAACCCUAAAAAUACAUGAAUUUAUCAAAAUAAGUAAAUUAAUUUAAAUUGGUAUGGCAUAUUAGAAGUUUUACCAGCCGAAACAAAUUAAAAAAAUAUUACACUUAAAUCAAAUAUUGACAAAAAUAGAUAACAAUCUAAUGAGAAUCUUAACUAGACAUUUUUACUUCUAUCCAAUUUAACUGGAUAAAUUGACAAAUAUUGACAAAAAUAGAUAACUCAUACACGCUAGUUUGAGAGUGUGGGGUGUGACAAUGGGUCAAAAGACCAUUGACAGGUAUAAAAGAGUGGUCGCAAUUAAUUCAAACCGCUACACACGCUAUUGCGUCUUUUAAAAAAGAAAAAUGGAAUAGUUUUCCAAAAUUAAUUCAGAGAAGAAGAUUUACUAAUAAUGAUGUUAGAAAUCUUAAUAUUUGAAUCUUAAUAUUAUGUAUCACUCAUUUAUUAAAUAAUAGAUUUCAUAGUUUGUAAAUUUACUUAACCACUUGAUAAAUGUUAUAUUUGUUGGGACUAAAUUGGGACUUAGAUGUUGGAAUAUCAAGUAUUGCAUAAAAAUAAAAAAUAAAAACUUAACAAUUUAUCUUCACAUGACUAAUUGUUUUUACAUCACAACUAACCUUAGUUAUUUUUUAAAGUUAUAGUAUUAUUAAAUUGCCCUAACUGGUUAUCAAAAGAUGAAAGCAUGUUAAAAUAAGAAAUUACUAAGAAACAUGUGCUUAAACAGAGGUUAAGGCUACGAACAAUUAAGAAGAAACAACUUACAAUCAAAGGUUAAGAUUAUGAACAAAUUAAGGAAGGUAUUGAGCAGAUAAAGGGACGAAAUCAUUGUCUGAAUUGCCGGUGACAAGAAUGCUUGUGUUGUGAAAAGAAACCUGAUGGUUUGUAAAUGGGUUGAAUUUUUUAUUCGGUCGCUCCAACUGACUUACUAAUGCCAAAUUUAUUACUUUGCACAGUAGUGUUUAGGAUCCUCAAGAUCAACUCUUAAUUUGGUCCCAAUUAGUGUAGAAAUCAUCUAUUGAGCAAUAGAAUAAGAAUUUUUCUAGUCAUGAAAUUCAAUAUAUAAUAUAUCCUUGACACACAUCGAUUAUAACUUAACUGUUAGAAUUCAUAACAUUACUCUACUCUCAAGGGGAGUUCUCUUAACAUAUUAUGUUAGGUUGCCUACAUUCAAAAUAUGUUAGGCUGCUCUUUGAAAACAAUAUUCCUUUUUCCGUAACUUUGAAUUGAUCCAAUAGCUCUUGAAAAGCACAUAAUAAUCAUUAUAAAUUUAAUCAAAGACUAAGCAAGUCUUCUUUGCAUUUGAUCACUGGCAUUUCAGUUAAGUUUGUCAUUUACUUAAAUUUUUCUUGCUUUCAAUUUCCACUGUUGUUUUUUUUAAUAAAAUAAUUUAUUUAAACUAGUAAUAGAAAUAAGAGAGAAAGGGGUUUUCUUGACUCAAAGUCAAUUAUAAUCAUCAAAACUUGAGCGGACAUUGCAUGCCUAAAUUCCACGCACCCUAAAACGGUUUGAUUUGCUUUCACGCGUUCAUGAUUUUCCAUGAAAGAUAGUGCCUGUCGUCUCUUUCCGGACAGUGACUACAGUCAUGGAAAAAUUAUGUUAAAGUGACGAAUACAAAACGUUAUUACAUGCAAGAAUAAGUUUUUGGAGCCGAGACUUGAGGGAGGUUCUAUCUAAUUCUAAAGAUUGUAACCAAAUCAUUAUCCCCAAUUUUUUUCAGUUAAAUAAAAUAAAAUUUAUGCUUAAGUAUAAAUAAUUUUUUUAAGUUAAAUAUAAAAUAAAAUUCAUGAACUUCCUAGAAAGAAAGAAGACCCUUCACCUUCUUCACGACAACAAAUGAUGUUGAUAUGACAAAUACAAGCGCUAUUACAGGGAACAGCAUGAGACCGAGACUUGAUAAAUAUUAAAUAUAUAAAAUAAGUGGAGCAAACAAACAGAAUAAUAGAUUUUUAUAAUAUUCUUCAUAAAAAUCCAAGUUUUGAGCUGGCCCAUAAGCUUAUCUAGUGAAGUCUGGGUAUCCGCAUUGCCCAAGGUUCCGCUUGAAUCCAGGCUGUGCUGAUAUUUAUGACAUCCCAUAUGGACGGAGAGGAAAUAUAUUCAGUUGACUGAAUUAAAUAAAAAUAUAUUACAAUCAUAUUAUAUAUUAGCAGCAAAAAUAAAAAGAAAUGAAGAAAAACGCUGUGUGGUUCAAAAAGAGUGUGGGUGAGUGAGUUAAUUUUCAUAUUAUUAGUAGUAAAAGGGUGGUGGAGUGAGGGAUGUUUGGAGCAAGAGAGGUCUGCUCUCCUCCAACUCAAACAUUUCUUCGAUGAUGAUCACCGUCUUCAAAACUGGGUAGACGAUGAGAAUUAUUCAGAUUGUUGUCAGUGGGAAGGGGUUGAGUGCAAUAACACCACUGGCAGAGUGAUUGAAUUAUAUCUAGGAGCCACUAGGAAUCGGGAAUCAGCAGAGUGGCAUAUGAAUGCUUCUCUGUUUACUCCCUUUCAACAAUUAGAGUCUCUUGAUUUAAGUUUGAACAAUAUAGCCGGUUGUGUUGAAAAUGAAGGUCCUUAAUUUACUUUAUUUUAAUUCUUCCUAUAAAUUUCUUACAUUUAUCUGAUCCCUUUUGGCUUUUGUUUAAUUUGUACGUGAUACAAUAAAAUUAUUUUUUAUUUUUUGGCAGGUCUAGAUAGGUUAUCAAGGUUGAACAACUUGAAGUUUCUUUUUUUAGACUUUAACUGCUUCAACAACAACAUCUUUUCAUCUCUAGGUGGUCUUUCAUCACUCAGGAUCUUAUCAUUGUUUCUUAAUAGAUUGAAUGGAAGUGUUGACAUUAAAGGUAAAGUAAGCUUCAUCCCUUCUCCCGUGUCCCAUCUUUUGUGGAUCUUAUUUCAUCGACCAGCUGGAAGUAUUGAUACGAGAUCUUGCUAGUGCAAGCUUCAAGGCUUUGAGUGCUACAAAAAUAGGUCUAAGAAAUUAUCAAUACAUAACGUUAUUACAUACAAUAAUAGUUCUAAAGAUUGUAACAAAAUCAUUAUCCCCAAUUUUUUUAAGUUAAAUAAAAUAAAAUUCAUGCUUAAGUAUAAAUAAUACUUUGGACAUUCUUGAUAUUUGUCCUUUUAAGAUAAACAGCAACCCAAUUAUCUAUUUGUUUGUCUGUUUUUUUUUUUUCAAUAACAGUUUGUUAGCAUAAAUAUUUACCUGUGAAGUCGAGGAGGAGAAAAUGUUAGAAAAAAUAAAAAGAAAAAAAAUUAAGGGGGAUAGAAUUAGAUUUUCUUUUUUGAGCAAAGAACAUACGUAAAAAGAUAUUAAAUCUAUUAAGUCUAAUUGUCUAUAACGGUAAAUUGCAUAACGAAUAAUUUAUUAGCGUAAAAUAAAUUUUAUUAGAUUCUGAUUAUUUGUUUGAUUUCUUUUCUCUCUGGACUCAACUUAUUUUGUUUAUUUGAUUUGAUUUUAUUUUUUUUUUAAAGAAACUUAUUGUUUAUCAAUACUGAAUGGCUUAAGAUUGAUGUCUUGAUAAUAGAUGGGGCAAUAUUGCAUUUUUAAUGCAGUAGACUUUGAAGUUAUCAUUGACAAGCUUAGAUGAAUUACUAGGACCAUAAUACAAAUGUCACAGGCAUCGAAGGCACUUACCAAGUUUUGAGUACAUUCCUGUUCCUAUCUAAUAGUUUUUAAUUUCUUUAAUUUAAGACCCCAUUCAUUAAUAUUUUCUUUAUUGUGAAGUUAAUUUUUUUAUCUGAAAUUAAAUUUUUUUUUUAAAUUGUUGACUUAUAGUUUACCUUUGUGUUAAAUGUUGGCAAAAUUAUUUUGUCCAAACCAUUUUUUUUGUCCUGAACGUCCAACUAAAAACUGAAUCAAGGGUUAAGUUGUAAGGUUUCAGUUCGUCCGUUAUAUUAAUUUAUUGUUUUAAUAUUAUGCAGUACAAAUAGGUGUAUAAGUCCAGAGGCGGAUGCAGCACAUGACCAGUGGGGGCUUGAGCCCCCACUGGCCAAAAAAAAAAAUUAAAAAUAAAAGAAUUUUUAAAAUUUUUUAAUUAGCCUCAUUAAAUUUAUUAAAAUAGUCACUAUAAAAUAUAAAUCCCAUAAAAUUUAAACUUUGAUUUUUAAAAAAUAUAAAAAUAUAUAUUUUAAUUAAAAAUAAUGAUAGCCCACUACUCAAAAAUUUUCUAUUCUAAAAAAUAUGGUUAAUUCUUCCAGUUUAUAUAAUAAUAGUAGAACGAACAGUUUCAGUAAUAAAACUCAUGAAGAAUCAUCUUUGGAAUCGGAUGGGAUACGUGAUAGUUUGAUUGUUUAUAUAGGAAAUAAUAAAUUUAAUAAUAUUGAUAAUGAGCCUAUUGCAUAACAUUUUAAAAAUAUAAAAAUGCGUAGAGACUAAUUAUAAAUAUUUUAUAUAUUCAAAAUUUUAAUUUUUUAUAUUUUACUAUUAUCUAAUUUAGCCCCCGGUAAAUUAUUUUUUUAGAUCCGCCACUGUAUAAGUCCAUCAUUUAAAUGCAAAAUGAAACCACAUCAAUAUAGAAAUUAAAAGAAAAUGAAUUCUCACAACCAUACGGUGAGAUUCAAACUCUCUAUCUCCGAGGAUUUCUUAAAGUUAUUCUUAAAUUACACUUAAAUGGUUAAAUUUAAUAAAUAAAGGUUUAAUUCUUUUCUCGCACAUUGUAGAAGCAAAUUUUCUCCUCUGUUGAAAAUUCUAAAUAUUUUUUUAAAUUAGGUUUCAACUAUGACAUGUCAGGACAGAUUUGAUACAUUUCUAAUGCAACCGAUAUAACAACACAACUUUGUGAUUUUUACUAUUCAGGAGAAGAAGAACACAACCUGUAUAACCCAACCGUUUAUAUACAAACAUCGAAUCGCUUUUUAAAAUUAAAUUGGGAAAAUUGGGGAUAUAAUCGUUUUUCAUAUAUAUACAUUUUUUCCUUACAAAUUAAAUUCAUGGUUGUUAGCUAAAUAUACCCGCUUAAAGCCACUCAGUCGAACCCUUUGAGAGCUGCUUUAAAUUUUUCGGAUUAGCCAUAUUCUUUUCACUGAGAUUUAACAUAAAAAAAAGGAGAAAAUAAGUUAUUUAAUUAACUCUAUUUUUAAGUGUUGGCAUAAAUACAGGACUCGAUUCCUUGAGUAACUUGGAGAUGCUGGACAUGAGCGACAAUGCAAUCGACAAUCUAGUGGUUCCUAAAGGUAUACAAAAUGUUCAAAUAUUUAUAAUUUGGAGGACAAUUUAAUUGAUUUGAUAAGGGAAUGCCCAAUGACACUUAUCCAAAAUAAUUUAAUCCGAAAUUGUAUCCCAAAUAGAUUACAGAGGCUUGAGGAAGUUGAAUACCCUUGGCUUAGGGGGAACGGAAACUGCAAUUAUAGAUGGAAGUAAGGUGUUGCAAUCAAUAGGAUCACUACCGUCCCUCAAAACACUUUACCUUUCGUGUACUAAUUUUACGGGAACAGUAGUUAAUCAAGGUAAGUAAAUCUUUUAUGUCGAAAAUAAUUGAAUUAAUAUAUAUAGCUAAAAUUUAUUGUUUUUACUUCUUUCUAAAUAGAAUUGCACAAUUUCACCAACUUGGAAGAAUUGAUAUUGUACAAGUCUGAUCUCCAUGUAAGCCAACUUCUGCAAGCAUCAUUCACUUCGUUAAAGAAUCUGUCAAUGCAUUAUUGUGUACUCAAGGGUGCCCUACAUGGUCAAGGUAAAUUACGGGUAUCCGAAGCUUUUAUGAUAUUAAUUUGAUAAUAAUUCUUUCUUUUCAAGUUAAUUUUUUCCCCUAAAAUAAGAUUUUUUUUCUUUUAAAUUUUAUAUAUUUUCAUUGUCCAAUAGUUCUAGCUUCUCUUAAUUGCAGGAUUCUUGAUUAAGGUUAAUGAAAUUUUAGUUCUAUUAUGUUAAGAAUAUUUCGAUCGCUUAGAAGAGUAAAGAAAAAUUAGUAAAUUAACCAAAACAAAAGGAUCAGAUUAUCCUUAUUCCCUUGCAUUAUGUGAUCAAUAUCAAAAUUAUAACCAUUUCUUGUUUAUUGCUUGUAGAUUUUCGUAAAUUCAAGAAUUUGGAACAUCUGCACAUGGGUGGGGCGCAGGUUGACGUCAACACCAGUUUUCUUCAAAUUGUCGGUGAAUCGAUGCCUUCACUUAAGUUUUUAUCACUGAUAAACUCUAGUAAAAAUAUUUGAACUAAUAAUAUCAGACAGCUGGCCUUUCUUUUCCUUGAGAUACUGAUUCGGAGUACUAAUAAUUUUUUACAAGUAAAGUUCCAUUAAAAUAGCAUAAGCCAUGACAAACACGUAUUGUUUAAUGGGCAUCCGUGAGACAAAGGAAUUGAUUAACCCAAAAGAUCAUAUGUACGGACACAACGUUUUAAUUAUUAACUUGUUUAAGUUUCUAAUCAACCUCUCUAAUCAAUCACAGCAAUUUUUCUUUUCCUCUAUCUCAAUCACUAAUUUCUUAAAGUGUAUACAAUUUUAGGAUGUUUGUAUUCUGAGAAGUUACACCAGCAGCAACCAAUUAUUUCGAAUGGAUCAGACUCAUCACGUAGAAAUAUUUAUUGUGGAUAUGAGGGAUAUUUUAAUAUAAUCUUAUUCCCACUCUCAUAUGACCGUGUAUAUUUAUAUGAAGAUUUAUUUCUUUGUUUUUUCAAUAAUAACGUGUAACAAUUGGAGUUUAAUUGAGUGGUUUUCAACUAAAUUUUAUUUAAUUGGCCACUCAAUUUUAAAUUUCAGGAGAGUUGAAAAUUUAAAAAUUAGAUUAAACUUUACUCAUUCUUUACCUUUCUAAAAGAAGAAAAAAGUACUGAUUUUUAAACAAUUGGCCGUUACAGUCUAUAAAGUUUUGAUUUGCUUUUUUAUAUAAUCGCUUUUAUUAAAAGAAGAAAAAAAUAUCGAUUUUUAAACAAUUGGCCAUUAUGAUAUAUAAACUUUUGAUUGCUUAUAUAUAAUCUCUUUUAUUAUUCCCCUAAAAUAUUGUCGAUAAUAAAAAAAAAAAAAAAAGCAGUCGGCCUAUGUAGCAAUGCAUAUGUGGUAGUAUAUGCAAAAUAAUAAUUUAUAUAAAAUUAACCCACAAAAAAAAUGAUUGAUGUGAAUAUAGAGUAUAAUUUCAUAUUCAUACACUUUUGAUUUUGUUAGGGCAUAUACUAUAUUGAUAUGAGCAUAGGACAUUGUUUACUAAAUAAAAUUAUUAAUAGUUUUAGUCUUCUAGAAUCCCCUGAUAGUGCUCUUAAUCAAAUUAUAAUAUAAGUCAUUGCUUUUUCUUUUUUAUUUUACCAUUUUAUUCUAUUCACCAGAUGCAUUUUUAGUAAUUAUUUUCUAUGUACAUGGUAGUGUUUGAUUUAUUAAUAUUAAAGAAGUUAUCAAUCACUUUUAAGUUUUUAAGUGUUUUUAUUAGGUGUCAAUUUGUAUUGGCAUGUCAAGUAGAUUUUUUAUUUAUGUUUUGUUAAAUUUAUAUAGACAAGAAUCUGGAUUGUUUUGACACUUUUUAAUUGCUUUUUUUUAAAUCACUUGUUAACAUAUUUUAAAAAUAUUUGUACUAUUAGUUACUCAAAUUCUAAUCGAUUUCGGUCUAAAUUAGGAAAUAAUUUUAAAAUAUAUAAAACAUAAUAUAGAUUUAUAGAAUAAUCUGAGAAUAAAGAAGUCGAAAAUUGUCAUUUAUACAAUUAAACUACUCUUUUAUUAUUCACCAUUUUUAUAAAUAUUAUCAAACUAAAAGAUCUCAUUUAAUAGUCAUAUGGUCUUGUCUGAGCGAGAUUCGAUUCCUAAAUAAUAAUAAUAAUAAUAACAAUAUUUUAAGCAAUGUCUUUUUAACAGCAGUUCAAUCAUCUAAAUACAUCACUAACGAAGAAUAUAAUACAUAUUAUAUACAUAUUUAGAUCACACAAAACACGUUAUCAUCUAAAUCUCACUUUUUCUCCAAUAUGUAAUAAAUUCAUGGAAAAUUUUUGAGUGUUCAUAGUGUAUGCUCCCACUCUAACGCAACUCUCUCUCUCUCUCUCUCUUCUUUUUCACCUGAAAGCUUGUCUAAUUUGGUUACAUUCAUGCAUGCUUACAUAAUUAGGCUCUAAUGGAUCAUAGUGUUGCAAAUUAUUAUUUUAAUGAUACGAUCGAUAUAAGCCGUGACUUUAUUUAAGAAAAAUGCUUGUUUGAGUGCUAAGGAAAGAUAGCAGUUAAUGGUGGGCUGAGAAUAUUAAUAAACAGAAAUCAGCAACAAGAAAAGAGAAAAGAAUCACGUCUGCUGACCCAAAAAAGGGAAAUAAAAUGAUAAAAUCACUGUGCGCAACAAUGAUUGACACAAGAACUUUACUCUUCCAAGCAUUGGUCCUUUUCAUGUCUUUGCCUGCCAAUUUUAGCAAAAUGUUUAAAAGGAAAGAAGUGUUUGUGAAGAGAUUCUCUCUUUAUUAUUCUCCUCUGUGACACUGACACACAACACAAGUGAGCAAAUUAAAACCGAGAAUGUUUCUUUUCGCAGUGCUUAAAGCAAAUUAAAAGCGUGGUGACAUCUGCUCCUCAGCCUCUGUGCUGAAAGAGUUUAAAAAAUAAAGCUGAUCAAAGUGUGUAUGUGUGAGUGUAGGUGGAGUGCAUGGGAUCAGCAUAUAUGUGAUUUUGUGUUCAUCUGCAGUAUAGAAUGUGAUUCUUUUUUCCUAUCACUUUCUUCUAUGCAAGGAUCGUAAAAUGCUGUUCGGUAUGAUCAGCUGCUGGUACUUUUGAGCUUGCAGCAGCUUCCAAUGAUUUUAUUUCCAUCAAAUGACAGCAUAAUUUGCAUCAGCAAAUCCGAGAUGACAUGCCAGUUUUUGGGCUGUUCCAUUUCUAGAUAUAACAUCCAAACUUGAAUAUGUAUCUCAUUUGAACAUGUGUGAUACUGGAAUGGACACACGAGGAGUUGGAAUUUAAAUGAGGUAUCAUAUGCUUUUCUUGAAAGAAAUAACCAAUUCAGUAACGGCCUAGACAACUCUAGCCACUUCAAAUUGUCGGUUAAUUAAUGAUUCUCUUUCUCCCUCUCUCUCGCAUCUUAACUAAAUUUAAUUGAGAAUAUCUACAAUGCUAGCUAUUUAUAAACUUAAUGAAAGAUGAUAAGGAGCCAUUAUAAUGACAAACACAACUGUAAAAUAGUGCGUUGUUGUAGUGUUGAUUGAAAAAUAAUGCUAAUGUUUUACCUAACAACACUAUAACGCCGUAUAAUUUUUAAUAUGUACUUUAAACUAUCAGUACUCAAACUUAAUUUUUAAUAUGUACUUUAAAGAUUUUAUGCAAUUAUUUAAGUUUUAUGCAAUUAUAUUUUUCAGGACUUUGUCGGUUAGUGCAUCUGCAAGAGUUAUACAUCAGCAGUAAUGAUUUGAGAGGUAGCUUGCCAUGGUGCUUGGUAAACAUGACAUCCCUCCAAGUGUUAGAUGCCUCUUCCAAUCAACUUAUUGGAAACAUCUCCCCAGGCCUUUGUGAGUUGGUGCUUCUGAGAGAGUUAUACAUUCAUAACAAUGAUUUAAGAGGUAGCUUGCCUUUGUGCUUGGCAAAUUUGACUUCCCUUCGAGUAUUAGAUGUCUCUUACAAUCAACUUACUGAAAACAUCUCCUCAUCUCCCAUCAUGCAUCUAAUAUCUAUUGAAAAGCUCAUACUUUCAAAUAAUCACUUCUUCCAAAUCCCUAUUUCACUUGAACCACUUUUCAAUCUCUCAAAACUCAAGACUUUCGAUGGUGAAAUAUGCGCAGAAACUGAGUCACAUUAUAAUUCUUUGACCCCAAAAUUCCAACUGACUUCUAUCUCACUGUCUGGUUACAUAGAUGGUGGCACAUUUCCCAAAUUCUUGUUCCAUCAACAUGACUUGAAGAAUGCUGAUCUCUCACACCUUAACUUGAGUGGACAAUUUCCAAAUUGGUUGCUAGAAAACAAUACAAACUUGGAGACGCUUCUUCUUGCCAAUAACUCUCUUUUUGGAUCAUUUCGAAUGCCAAUUCAUUCCCACCAGAAUUUAGCAAUAUUGGAUGUCUCCAACAAUUUCUUUCAAGGCCAUAUCCCGGUAGAAAUCGGAACAUAUCUGCCAGUCUUAAUGGGUUUAAACUUAUCUAGAAAUGCUUUCAACGGUAGCAUUCCCUCUUCAUUUGCUGAUAUGAAAAUGUUGGGAAGGUUGGACAUAUCGCACAAUCAGUUGACUGGUGAAAUCCCAGAGCGCAUGGCCACGGGUUGCUUCUCAUUAGAAAUUCUUGCAUUGUCAAACAACAGUUUGCAAGGUCAUAUAUUCUCUAAAAAAUUUAGCUUGACAAAUUUGAUGACGUUGCAGUUGGAUGGUAAUAAAUUCGCUGGAGAGAUCCCAGAAAGCUUAUCUAAGUGCUAUUUGUUAGAAGGAUUAUAUCUGAGUGAUAAUCAUCUCACUGGUGAGAUUCCAAGAUGGUUGGGUAAUUUGUCAGCUUUGGAAGAUAUUAUAAUGCCCAAUAACAAUCUUGGAGGGCCAAUUCCAAUCGAGUUUUGUCAGCUUGAUUCUCUGAAGAUUUUAGACCUUUCAAACAAUAGUAUUUUCGGAACCUUACCAUCUUGUCUUAGUCCAGGAUCUAUUGAACAACUUCAUUUGUCAAAAAACAAGAUAGAAGGACGAUUGGAAAGUAUAAUCCAUGACAGCCCUUAUUUGGUGACAUUAGAUCUUAGUUAUAACAGCUUACACGGAAGUAUUCCAAAUCGGAUUGACAGACUACCUAAGUUAAACUACCUUCUUUUGGCUAAUAAUUAUAUUGAAGGCGAAAUACCAGUUCAAUUAUGCCAUUUGAAGGAAGUGCGGUUGAUUGAUCUUUCUCAUAAUAAUCUAUCUGGUCAUAUUCCUCCUUGCUUGGUUAACACUUCACUCAGUGAAGGUCAUCAUGAGGCAGUAGCUCCAACUCCAAGUGGAUCUCCGAUGGGAAAGGAAGAAACUGUUCAGUUCACAACAAAGAAUAUGUCCUACUAUUAUCAAGGAAGAAUUUUGACGAGUAUGUCUGGGAUUGAUCUUUCUUGUAACAAACUGACAGGUGAGAUUCCUACUCAAAUUGGAUAUCUUACUAGGAUUCAUGCACUAAAUCUAUCUCAUAACAAUUUGACGGGCACAAUCCCGACAACAUUUUCAAACCUGAAGCAAAUCGAAAGCUUGGACCUCUCCUACAACCUACUGCAUGGGAAAAUCCCUUCUCAGCUCACUGUGCUAAAUACAUUGGCGGUCUUCACGGUAGCAUACAAUAACUUAUCAGGAAAAAUUCCAGAUAGAGUUGCACAAUUUUCAACUUUUGAGGAAGAUAGCUAUGCGGGGAAUCCUUUUCUUUGUGGAUGGCCACUGUCUAAAAGUUGCAAUGAUAGUGGAUUAUCAGCAGUGACACGAGAAGCUUACACUGAUAAUGAAGAAGGUGAUAGUUUAAUUGACAUGGACAGUUUCCUAAUCACUUUUACAGUAUCUUAUGGAAUUGUGAUAUUAGGAAUUAUUGGAGUUUUAUACAUAAACCCCUAUUGGCGACGAAGAUGGUUUUACCUUGUUGAAGUAUGUAUGAUCUCUUGCUACUAUUUUGUAGUAGAUAAUCUUAUUCCUAGAAGAUUCUAUGGUGGAUGGAUGUAAUUUCAUUUACUUUACAACUUAUAUGUAAUUUUUAAAGAAUUUUCUUUUGCAUGCAUGGAAUAGCAACUCAAUAAAAGUAUUUGAUGCAAAUUGUCCAAGAACAACUUAGUAAUUUCAUUGCUACUAUUCGGUUGUAUAUAUACAGUUAAUGAAAUUUUUAAUCAUUCGCAGUAGGAAUUUCUUUAAAUGGCGGCCAAAACUAACAGAUUUGGGGCUCUACCUCUACACAUCAUAACAGGCAAAAGGUCUCUCUUUUACACUAUCUGAAUGAAGAUUAGCUUACGCCCCCUGGAGUUCUCUAUUAAACUUGACGGUUGAGAUUUCAGGUCCAGAUGAAAGUGAAAUGCAGGCGACGAGACUACACUUUAAGUAAACUGGGACAAACUUAAAAUAAAAAAAAUUGUAGUCCAGGGUGAGAGUGAUGGGUAGCUCAACUUAUGGAGGAUAAUUAGGACUUGGAAUAACUAUCAGAUUUGCAACUCUUGUUAUAUGCUAGUGGGGAUUUAGGUAGCAAUUUUUUUUUUUUUCCUUUUUGCCCUCUUCCUCACAAUAAACACACCUAACACACCAAGCCGUGCCCAAAAUAAUCCUAUUUUAUUCAUGUCAUGAAUCCAAAAACUAUCCCAGCUCACUUUGUUUAACCAGCAUAACUAAAUUGUGGGUAUAAAUGAACACACUUUCGAAGCCUGUAACUUAUAAUAAGCUCAAACCCAAAAAUGACAUUUAAAUCCUGCAAGUGUUUUUCAUCAUCCCUAACAAAAAGAAACAAGAAUAAUUAUAUACCAAUAGUUUUUCCAUAAAAAAUACUGAUACCAAUAGUUUUUCCAUAAAAAAUACUGAUUUGAGUUGAAACACUCUACAAACUGGAUUUUAUACACUUGCAGAAAGCUACGCGAUAGACAAAAUCUAGCAGCUACAUAAUGGUAUCACUUUCAGCUGGUCAUGAAUGGUGUGCAUUCAGCAGUGCUCGAUAGACCAUGUCUAUGAAUUGAUUGUCCUAUUACAUAUAAAAGCUGGUCAGAUAUACAAGGAAAAAAAUAAUAAUUGAAAAUGCAUCACAAAAAAUAAGUGUCUCGCAUUAGUGUUUGCACUCUAAGCAUGGCAAAGUGGUGCGGGUUCAUGAUUUUGAAGACUGGGAUAAGUGAAAAAUAGUUCAAUCCACUGAUGAACAUAAAUUUAUUUACAUGUCAAUUUAGAUAUCAUAAAAAAGUAAACUGUAAUUCACAGUCACUUAAAAGAGUUGAUAAAAUGCAUGCCAUGAAUGCAUUUUUGUACAUAAGAAAUCCAAAGAGUAUUUCUGACAAUACAAAUAUGCUAGCUUUAAAUCUGCUGUCAAUAUGCAAUUAAGAAGAUUAUAUCAGCUGCAUGAUAAAGUUCCCCUAAUCUUAAUAACAGUAAACAUGAACAUGUCAGAUGCAAUUAUAGCUUCGAGCAUUUGCAUAACCAGAAAUCCUAACCUGAACAAGCACCAGAAGUGUCUCUCGGACUUUCUCCUUGUUGAUAAAUGGUCCGCUGUUUGAAGUAAGAGCAGGAGUAAGAGAUGGUGGAGGGGUUGGUAGUGGAAAAGGUUGAAGCAUUGGGGCACCAUAUGGGCGUUGCAGACUCAGGGGAGGAUUAAGUGGCGGAGCUGUUGGUGUAGAUGAAGAGACAAGCUGCAUCAUCUGUGCAUAGGAGGAUGGAGGAGGAACAAAGAAUAAGGAAGGCUUUACAAGAUUAGGGGUAGGUGCUGACAGAGGUGGAGAUGGUAUUUGCAAGGUUGGCACGAUAAGAGAAGCAACACUGGCGGGAUGAGAAGGUAAAGAAAUAGUUGUAUUGGACUGGUAAGGUUGUGCAGAGAUUGCUGCAUUAGAAGUAUUCCCCACAGUCAAAGCUGU